AUAAUUUUUUUUUCUAUGAAAAACUUAUGCUUUAGUUAUUUGGUUUAAAAACUAAUUUUUUUGGAAAGUUUUUUUUUUUUUCAAUUUUUAUGAAAAAUCAGUAUUUUUAUUUUUUUCUAAAAAAUUGAAAAGAGAAAACAUUAAUCUGCGAUAAAAUUUGAAACAUAAAUUUUCAAAAGAGCUAGUUUUUAUAUGAAACUAAACGGACGAAAAAAUAAAAUAGAGAUUUUUUAUGAAAAGAUUUUUUCCCGCAAAACUUUUUUCCGUACUUUUUCUUCCGAGGAAGCCAACACCCUUUUAUGCCAAGGACCAAUUUAAAGAGCUUAUUGGUAUUGAUGCUUAUCUAAUGUUAUUAGGUAGAAUGAAGUUGCGGAUUGCUUCCUUAUUUUUUGACGGGUCCACGAAAAACUUGUCAUAAUUGACUCAUUCUUUGUGACAUUGCUAUGUUGCCCUUGCAAAUAGUCUUUUACCGUCGCAAAUUUUUCUUAUUUAUCCUUAAAUUAAGGGCAAACGAAGUAUUUCGACUUUUUAUCGUUUCAAAUAUUUUUUUUUAUCGUCACCAACUUUUUUUUGUUUGUCUUUAAGUUAGGGGCAAAAGGUUUAUUUUGACUUUUUAUAACUCUGGUAAAAAUACAACUCGGCUUUAAUCUGAUAUGACUUAACGGGUAUUAACAGCUGGGUUAUUUUUGAAUAACGAAAAAUAUAUAUGAGGUGUAUAUUUAAAAUAAAAAAAUAAAAAAAUAUAUAAUAUACCAGAAGUUUUAAGAAAUAUAUUAGAUAUAUAUUUUUUCUAUCUACUUUUUCACAUCUAAAGUGGUUUAAUCCCAAAAUAUUUGGGUCGAAUCCGUACUAAGCCUUUUAGGCCAGCGCAAAUAGAUUCCAACCUGUGAACCAAUUUAAAAGCCCAUCAAAGCCCAAUAAGAGCGUCUAUUAAAAAAAGGAUUAAUUGCAUACAGAUCCCCGCAAACAUAGUAAAUUACAAGUAUCUUCCUAUAAAGUUCAACUUUCAUAAAUUAUCGCUGCAAAAGUCCUAAUAUUUUCAUAUAUGUCUAUGCCGUUAGAAUCCGUUAGAAAAGUUUAGUUAACUAUAAGUUAAAUACUUUACCCUAAUUAAUUUUUGACAUUUUUAUCCCUCUUAUUUUAUACUGUUAUAAUUUUUGGAUGGACAUUUAUAAUGAUAAAAUUUAAAAUAUAAACAAUUUUUUAACGAUUUUCUAACGAUAACAAAUCAGAAAGAUAUAUUUAAAAAUAUUAUGACUUUUAUCGGCAUAAUUUAUAAAAAUUAAAUUUUAUAGGAAUAUAUUUGUAAUUGACUAUGAUUGUGGGGAUGCAAUUAACCCUUAAAAAAAAAAAGAAAAAAAGAAAAAAAAGGCGUCUAUAAAAUACUACAAGUAUUGCAAAACCCUCGCGAAAACCCUUCUGUAAGGUCUCUUCCUCUUCGUCGUCUUCGUCUUCAACCUCAUGAGGGGAAACGACGAUCUCGAUCUCCGCCCAUGGCGCCCGCGCCCUGGCCCCUACCUCGGCGAGAUCUCCGCCCUCUCCCUCCUCCCUCUCCCCUCCAACCUCUCCUCCUUCCCCCUCCUUCUCGCAGGUACCCCUCCUCUCUCUUUCUCUCUCUCGAAAUCUAACACCCGAUUGCCCUAAUCCGCCCCUUCUCUUCAUCAGGAUCGGGGUCGCAGCUCCUUGUUUACGCGGUGGAGUCGGGGAGUCUCCUCAAUUCGUUUCAAGUAUUUGAGGGGGUUCGUGUGCACGGAAUCGCGCCUCGGUUCCUUCGAUCGACGGAGUUGUUGCCUUUCUCGGUGGCGGUGUUCGGUGAGCGGAGGGUUAAGCUCUUUGCGCUGCGUGUCGGGGCUGGGGAUGGUGGUGCGGUCGCCUCGGUGGGGCUGGAGUUGCUAGGGAGGUUGCCGGGGUUUGAUCACUGGGUUCUCGACGUGCGCUUCUUGGAGGUGAGCUGAUUACUUGAAUGUUGUUGGUGGAAGCAGCUUCUCUGUUGCUGCUCGAAGCAGCGGCCAAGGAGACAGUUUGGAACUUUUGCUGUAGUCGGAAGCUGAAAUUAGGUCCUGGAUAUGCAAAAACAUAAGCUUUGAUUUGAAUUUUCCGCUUCUGGUGUAGUGGCGAACUGUUGCGUCGCAAUUGCUAUAAUGUGCAAACAGAACUUAGUGCCUGAUCAGUCAUGCUACAGCUUCUGUUUUCAGCUGCAGCACAACUGGUGGAACAAUCUGCGAACUGAAAUGCAGAGCUAAAAUGAGAUUUCGAGCUCCAAAACUAGUAGCUCCAUUUAGGAUCUUCUGGUUUAGUUGCAAAGAGAAGUUGUUGGGAGGGUUUUAUUACUGUUUCUUCUAAUAGUACUACUUAAAAUGAUGCUCUGUCAAAUGUUACUAGCUUUAUCAAAUGUCACUAGCUGGGCCAAACAGGCUCAGUUAGUAUGGAGUUGCAUAGUGACUAGUUGAAUUGGAUAAUUGGUGCUACAGGAAGACGAGCUACUCGCCGUUGGACUAAGUGAUAAUUCCGUGGCUCUAUGGGAUCUUAAAGCGUGUUCUCUUGGUUCCCGAGUAAAAUCCCCAGGUUUGAUAUUUGUUCAUGGAGCUUUAUUUGGUUUUAUCUUCCAUUGUUGGUAAAGUGGUGCAUUUUGGUUGCAUAUGAUAAUCCUCAUACAUUCUUUACGGGCGUAAUUAUGGAUAAUAAUGUGCAGAUAGAUGUCUUUUGUUCUCGAUGAGGAUGUGUGGGAAUAGCAUUGGAUCUCUUCUCGUGGCAUCGGGUACCAUUUUUAAUGAGGUAUGCUUUUUCUUUCUUUCCUUUUUAUUUUUCUUUCUUUUUUCAAAAUCUCAGUUCAUUUGGUUAUGAGAAAUGCUUUUAUUUCUUACUGGCGCAUAAUAGUUUAGGUUGAAUAAUUGUUUUGUGUGUUUUGCUUUAUGCAAUUUAGCAACAUUAUUUCCCCUUGAAGUACCGACUUUUUAAAUGCAAAUGUUGGCUGGGCAAAUAUAUUCAGGAACAAGAAUUUUCACUAUUUCUGAUAUUCUUGCCUGAGGAAGUGAUCAUGAUUAUUGAUUAGGGGUUGCUUCUCUCAGAAUUUUGUUUUAUUGUUAGGGAAGGCGGACUAUGCAUCCUAAGUGUAGUUGCUUUCUUUCACUAUGGCUAGUGUUGUUAGUUUUAAUAUGGCAGCCAAUAGUUUUAUAUCAUUUCAAGAGUGUCAUAAUUUAUAUUUUCACUUGAAAUGGCAAGAAUAUUACUUGUCUUCUUGCAGCAAAUGAUAUUUUUGGAUCUUUUGGUAUGUGGAGGUGUAAUUACAGAUUCUUAAUAUGUGAUGGUUACAUAGGUUGGUUUGAAAAUUAUCUUUCUUAAUAGCAUAAGUAAUAGGGCUUGUGUCUCUCUUUGCAGAUACUUAUUUGGAAGUUAAUUCCUCAAGUCUUGCUUUCAUCGUCAACUUCUGUGGUUGAGACUGGCAAUCCAAGCAUUGCUUGCAAUACAAAUAUUCAUUCUCAUCAAGAAUACAUGGCCAUUCAUUUGAGUAGGCUUAUAGGGCAUGAAGGUUCAAUCUUUCGAAUAGCGUGGUCUACUGAUGGAUCAAAAUUAAUGUCUGUUUCUGAUGACCGCUGGUGGGCUAUCUUCCCAGUUUUAUCUCAUGUUUUUUCAAUUAUGAUGACUUUUUGGUACUUCAACAAAUUUUUAGAUUAUUUGAAUUGCCACUCAUAACUCGUGUACUAAUCGGCCCAUUUUUAAUAAUGUUUUAUUGUCAGGACAGUGCUCGAAUCUGGAUGCUGAGUGGCGGAACACGAGAUUGUAGUGAGUUGGAGAAGAUUCCGGGUAUUCGUGUUGUUACACAACUUUCACUUUUUGGACAUAAUGCGAGAAUAUGGGACUGCUACAUCUCUGAUUCUGUAAGACUUUAUUAUAAAAUGCAAAUGCAUCCUCAGUUUUCUAUAUCAUUUAGAAUUCUUCUAAUAGUUUCUCAUUUCAUACUUGGAAGUAUGCACUUCUUUGUUGGGUUUUGUGACCCAAAUAUCAUGAUGUACAGAUUUAUUUAUUUGUCCUUACUGUUGUUUUUGAUAAGACCUUGGGAGUUGUUGAUGCUUCUAGUUUGAAAUACUUAACUUUAUUUCAUAGUUUGAAAUAUUUAAAUUUAUUGCUUACAUGGUGUCUAAUUAUUUGCUAAUUUGAACCCACUUGAAGAAGUCUGGGACUUGCCAAAAACAAUUAAGCCCAACAUAACAUACUCAAAACUAGAUGAAUUCAAAGUUCAAACAAAUGUCAGUUACUCUACCUGUCACUGUUCAUCUGGACAGAGCAAAACAAAAUUAGUAAACUAUAUAUAGCUUGAUAGAAAAAAAAUAAAUUCAAAGUUCACAGAAACAACAACAGAAGAAAAUUAAUAAACUGAAACAAGGUUGAUAAAGAAAAAGUGUGUUAUCUUGCUUUAAUCGAGUGAUAAAGGUUUCUACUUUGUAUUAUGAUGUGUAUUCUAAUAUUGUGAUCUUUAUUGCUGAGAAACUUUAACCUCUAAGUGCUUUUUCCAACUGAAUUUGCCAUUUAGACAGUUAUUACAGCUGGAGAGGACUGUACUUGUCGUGUCUGGGGAAUGGAGGGAAAACAAAUUAUGAUGUUCAAGGAACACAUGUAAGUGAUUAAAAUGUACUUAACUUGAGUUGAACUUUAUUGGACUUUGCUCAUCUUUCCAGUUUGGUACUUACAUAAGGCAUAAUGAUUGUUUAGUGGAAGAGGGAUAUGGCGAUGUUCAUAUGAUCCCAGCUCUUCCCUCCUUAUUACUGCUGGAUUUGAUUCUGCGAUAAAGGUACAUCAGCUUUGUUCAUCUUCAACUAAGGAGAAAGCAGAAAAUAAUGUGAUGCCAAACGAAUUUGGGCAUCUUACAGAACUAUUCACAAUUUCCCCUCCUAAAGUAUCGAAACAGCUCACAGAUAGGUAUAGCUUUUUAUGUCAUAUUUGACUUUCAGCAACUGUAGUUAAUAUUGUUAUUAAUAGUUUUUUUGUUUUUUGUUUUUUUUGUUGUUGCAUAUGCUCUUUUGCAACUGUAGCUAUUGUAAAUUAUUUAUUGCAACAAUUAUGGGACUUUCACUAUAAUUGAUGCGGAAAGUUUUUGUUGGAAUGAACUGUUUUAUCAUCCUUGAGAAAGAUUUUGCUGUUAAUAAGAGAGAAAGGGUUCAAUAGACAUAAGGUUGUAAAGCAUGCUUAGAAGUUUAGUCAAGGGAAGUAAUUUUUCUUCUUUGGUUGUUGAUUAUUGCGUUAUGAAUCUUGCUAACAGGUAUAACCUAGUGAAGGGUAUUGAAUGCAUCCUCAAGGAGCAAUCUCUGACCCCGACCUUAGUCUAAGAGUUCACAGUUAAUGUAUGGCAUUGAAUGUUAUUUGUCGUGAUACCAAAUUCUAAACAUCAUUAGCAAAAAAAUGUUCUGCAGCAAAAUAAGUUUACUUAUGUGGCCUAGAUGUAAAAGUAAAGCAUGUGCAUGUCCUUCAGUUGUCAUGUGGGCUUACUGAUUUCUCCUUUUGUCUCCUGCGGUAUUGCAGCAAAACUGAAUAUGUGAGAGCCAUACAUUUUACACGAGAAGAUACACUUUUUGUUGCCACCAACAACGGCCACCUGUAUUGCUGUAAGUUCUCUAGUUCUUUGGAUGUAAGGUGGACUCAACUUGUCCAAGUAAGUGAAGAGGCACCAAUCAUUUGUAUGGACAUAAUUGCAAUAAACUCAAGUUUAUCUUUGCAUAUGGACGAUAUUAUUGCCCUUGGAGAUGGUAAAGGGAAAGUGACAAUUCUCCUGCUUAUAAAUGGUGGCUCUACACCCAAAAUGAAUAUGUGCUUUACUUGGUCGGCUGAAAAAGAGAGACAACUACUUGGAGUUUUCUGGUGCAAGUCACUGGGUUGCAGGUUAGUUUAUCAAUUUCCGUAUAUAUUUCUGCAAAAUCUGAAUUUCCAUUUAUGCCCUUUGAAAAUUUAGUUUCUUAUGUGUAUAACUUUCCACUUGUACUAAAUUAACUUCCUUAUGAAUUAGUCGACUCCAAAACUGUAUUUUUUGCUAGAAAUUGCACUUCUGUUGGGUAAAUAUGGUAUUUCAGUUUUGUUCAUAGUUAGUUAAUUCGGAUUUGGCAAAAAUUCGGUUCAAAGUAUAAUACGAAUAAAAUUCGUAUCCCAAUUUUUAAAUUCAUUGAAAAUUACGGCUUAAAAAACAUAUUCGCCAAUUAUUUGGAUACACGAUUUAUACGGAAAUUAUACGUUCACCAAUUAAUAAUUCGGAAUAAAAAAUUCGGCUAUUAAAUUCUUCUUCCCAAUGCCGAGCAGGAAAUCAGCGGAUCCAAACAACUUAUUUGGAUUCAAUUUUGGACCAGUAACAAUUCUAGGGACCCGUUGAUACGAGUUAUUGGCUAACCACAUUAAUACGAGUUGUUUACCCAUAACAAGAAGUAAAAUCAUGAAAAACAGAGAAUAAAAGAGUAGUAUGUCGAAACCAGAUUGCGAGCAGCAUGCGGCGCCGCGGCGGUUCCGAUGGCAAGUGGCUCGUGGUCUGGGGCAGGGAGGGUUUCGAACUUCCCAUGGCGAGCAGCCUCGGCCUCGCGGAGGGUUCCGAUGGUGAGAGGUGCGCGGCCCGGGCCCCGGGGUGGGGAGGGUUCUGAAGAAUCCGAAGUUUCAAUGGUGAGCGGCGCGUGGCUCCACAGGGCCUUCCGAUUGCGAGCGGCCGAAGUGCAGAUGGCGAGCGACGCAUGGCUCCACGGGGGCUUCCGAUUGCGAGGGGGGCAAGGAGGAGGGGAGUGAGGGGGGCUGGGGCAUACUUUGAGCGAGAGGAGAGGCGAACGUUUUCUGCGGGAGUUUUUCUUUUUUUUUUUUUCUUUUUGACUGAGCGGGCGUUUUUUUGGGCCAAUAAUACGGGGUUCGUGAAUUUUUCGCGAAUAAUAACUUUAAACCAAAAAAAUGUGAUUUAUUCCGAAUUUUUGGGAAAAAAACGUAUAUGGGCUGUUUAAUUCGGUUAUCCAAUAAUUCGCGAAUUAUUCGUGAAUUAACUAAGGUUUUGUUUGCUUCAUCCAUUUGUGAUGAUUGAAUAAUCCUCUCAUGUGUGUUUGGUUUUCAUCAAGCAGCCAUCUUUUCACUGCUGAUCCAAGAGGAGUUCUCAAGUUAUGGAGUUUAAGGGAUGCUUUACAGUCUGAUGCUUAUGAUACCGCUAGAAGUCCUGAGGUGCCUCUCGUUGCAAUAUUUGAGUCAUGUUUUGGGGCGCGAAUUAUGUGUAUAGAUGCAUCAGCCAAAGAGGAGGUAAUCAUUGUGUAUUUUGUUGUCUUCUGGCUAAAGCAGUACGAUCAAUAAUGCUGUAACAUCUUGUGUCUUGAGGCCACAAUCAGAAAUAAAAUCCUCCUAAAGAUAAAGAUUAUUGUGCUAUUUCUGCUAGAGGUAACCAAAAUUGCUGUGCUGGUUGGCACGCACUGGCACGACCGAUAAGUACUGCCAGGCCUGCCUGUGCCUAUAAGCCCUGUCUGUCCAUGUUGACUGUGUCAACAUAUAAAAUAGGGUAAGUGUCGAGACAUGCUGCUGUGUCGUGCUGUGCUGUGCUACUGGCACACCAGCAUUUCUCAUGCCAGUGGCACAACAAUCCUUGGAAAAUAGGAUAGAAAACAGCAGAAGAUGAGAAUAUUCGGGUUGAAGAGGAAAUGAGAGGGUAAUAACAGAGAAAAGGAAGGAAAAAACAAUCAAAGCAAUUCAUUCUAAGUCUAAUCAGUUAGUAGUCAUUCCCUUGUCCCUGUUUGUUGGAACAUAAAGAUAUUUAAAGGAGGAUCAUUGUUAAUGUAAUCAUUGUUCCUAUGUUUUAUACCAUUUUCACUUGCAACUUUAGUGUUUUAAGUAGUGAUAUAAGAACUAUUUGAAACCUUUCUUGUUCAGAGUACAAGGAACAUCCGUUAUGCUCAGUAUAAAUGUGUUUUAUGACGAUUUUGUUUUCUUGUAGAUAAUGGUAUGUGGUGACAAGAGAGGUAAUGUUACUGUCUUUCCCUUGAUGGAGGGCUUGAUAUCGUCUGAUUGCUGUGAUUUAUUGGAGAAGAUUUCUCCACUAGAUAGUUUUAAAGGUGCUCACGGGAUUUCCAGUGUGACCAGCAUUUGUGUUGGUGUCCCAAAUUUUAGCCAUGUUGAAAUAUUCACGGUAAGGCACAAAUUAUACUCACGAGAAGACACAAAUUUUAUUCAUGGCAUUGACAUUGGCUGUCAUUACUAUAUUUGGUUACCUUUUUUUUCCUCAAAAAUGAAAAUAUGUAGACGGGAGGAGAUGGCUGUAUCUGUUUCUUUAAGUAUGACAAAGAUGUUCAAAAAGUGGAAUUUGUUGGGAUGAAGCAAGUGAAAGAGUUGAGUACAAUUCAAUCAGUCCUUCCUAUCUCUAUCUGCACAGAAGAUUUGGGUAAUUAUGCAAUUGGUUUCACAUCCACAGAUUUUAUCAUGUGGGACCUUUCAAAUGAAACUAAGGUACUUUAAUUUAUAUUGAUCAUAGAAGCUGAAUUUGGCCACUGCCAAUUUAUUUCAAUUGAUUCUAAUGCACCAAUUGCAUUUUUGUGUAGAUAGUUCAAAUUCCUUGUGGCGGAUGGCGUCGACCUUAUUCUUAUUAUCUUGGAAUAGUACCUGAAUAUCAAAAUUGUUUUGCCUACCUGAAGGUUUGUUGUGCUUUGGUUAUUUUGUCUAAAUUGUGCUAUGUUAAGGUGACAUGUUCAUUUUUUAAAAAAACUUUGCUGAGGAAGUCAAACUUGUAGCUUUCUAAUGCUUUACUACUUGAAUCCACUUCUUAGGACUGUGAUACUUGAGUUCAUUGCAUGACUUUCUUUUCCAGGAUCACACUGUUCAUAUUCAAAGACUCUGGAUGCCAGCUCCUGAAAGAAAGAUGUUUCCCCAAAUUUUGCAUAUGCAAUUUCAUGGAAGGGAAAUACACUCUUUAUGUUUUAUUGCUCUUAAAUGUGAAUUAAAUUUGAAGGAAAGCCCCCACAUGUGGAUUGCAACAGGGUGUGAAGAUGGAACUGUUCGAUUAACCAGGUUUUAACUUUGAAUAAUUCUUUUGAUUAUUUAGAAUUUGUCAACACAAUUUUGUUAAUUUCAUUAUAUCUUUGUCAUGUUCAUUUCCAAAUGCAGUAAGAUUUGAUAUCUUCUGCAUUGCAAUAUCUUCAUCAGAAUAGUAUCUUAAAGGGAUAAUAUCUAGAAGUUGACUAUCCAUAUCAGAUGUCAGAUUCUUCCGGCUGUUAUUAUAUGCCUGAGAUGCCCUUAUCGCUUUAAUCUUCCAGCUGUCAUGGUCAAAGUGAAACCCUGAAAUUUUAAGUGACACAAAUUAUGGCCUAUAAAUAGGAAAAAAGAUCAAGAUGAAGUAGGAAUUAAAGUUUGGCAGAUCAACUCAAUCGUAGCCUCUGUAGUGUUUGUGCAAUUGUUAUUUGGUACCAAGUAAAUAAAAAUGUGUUUCUAUAAAUGAGAAUUGAUAGAUGAGGCUUUUACUGUGUGGUAGAAUUGAAAUACCCUUGCAAAUUAUGGGAUAACCGUGAACGUUUAGCAAAGUUGAACUUCCAAAAGUAUGUACUCUUGAAUCUGUUCAUAACUGAGCAAUGCAAGCUUUGUUAUGCAGCUUAUGCCUUAUAUGUUGCUGCUCAUAGCCAGCAGAGGCUUCUAUGGAGAUAUUGAUCAGCGAAUGGGGGCAGAAGUUGAUAUGUUACUUGUUCAUAGGGUGCCUAUUCCUUCAUAUGCUUCAUAGACUUAUAUUGCGUCGAUUAUUUAAUCAUAGGGUAAAAUAGGUAGUAAAUUAGAAUUCUUAGUGCAGACACUCCCAUUCUAUAGUUCUAGUAAACAUGAUAUAGUGUGCCAGUACAUCAAACCAACUGGAUGUAUUCCCAUAACGGGUUUCUUCUACUCUCUCUCUCUCUCUCUCUCUCUCUCUGUGCGUGUGUGCAAAUUACAACUGGUAUGACUUUACUUCUUCUUGGUUGUACUAAACUACUUACUAAUAAAGCAGAAGUGAUUUCUAAUAUACAUGAUUUAUGUCUUAACCUAGCACUGCCUGUGCUGAAGCAUUUCCCGUUCUUAUAGCACAUAUUUUCCUGUAUUUAAUUCAUUACAGUUUUUAUUUGCCUUAUUGAACUAUCUUGUUGCUUAAAUCCAGCUAAAGUAGUCCUUGUUUUCUUGCUGCAGGUACUCAUCUGAAGGCUGGAUUGAAUCUAAAUUGCUUGGGGAACAUGUUGGUGGAUCAGCUGUUCGGUCCUUAUGCUUCAUACCAAAAAUCUAUGCGUACAAAGAUCAAUCCAACCGUUCUUAUGACAAAUAUACAAAUCCUCUUCUUGAUAGCAAAGACAACCAUUUCAUACUUAUUUCUGUUGGUUCUAAGCAAGUUUUAACAUCCUGGAUUUUACGAAAUAUAUCAUCAGACUUCGGAUCUGAGCAUAUGUCUUCAUCUAUAUCUUUUCAAUGGCUUUCUACUUACAUGCCACCAAAAUCCAGCAAUAAGUGGAAAAUUGAAAAGUUGAUAACAGAGAUGUCUGAAAAGAGGAAUUUGUCGACGUCUGCUCAAAUAUCCAAGGCAUUUCCAACAGAUACAGGAGAAGAAAAAGUGAGUUCCAUGAUCUUGGAUCAAAUUGAAAAUGACUGGAGAUAUCUGGCUGUCACUGCUUUUGUUUUAAAACAUGCUGAUAGCAGGUAAAAACUUUAAAAGCCAUAAAUAAUCUCAGUUUUUCUCUGUUUUCUAUGGCUAUAUUAGCUGAUUUUUUUUAUCCUUUAUAGCUUCCUCACAUGUAUUCUUGUCGAAGAGAGAACUAAUCUUUGGUCUCCUGAAUACUCCAGGUUAACAGUAUGCUUUGUUGUGGUUUCUUGUUCAGAUGCUACACUUAUUUUGCGAGCUCUUCUUUUGCCGUAUCGGCUUUGGUAAGAUGUCUUAUCUUUAGUGCCUUUGUCCACUCACUUUUGUUAAGCUCUUUAUAUAGCUAUUUCCUACUAAUGGUUCAUUAAUCCAGCAUUAAGGCAUCAGGGUAAAUUCUUUCUCACAAUCUUGUCUUUACAGGUUUGAUGUUGCUUUAUUGGUUCCACAGAGGUCCCCGGUUCUAGCUCUGCAGCAUUUGGUUGUUUCUGGAUAUUCUGAUUGUACAGGUUUAGUCUUCAAUGUUUAUCUGAUGAUCAUCUUAUCACCAAUCCUUUUGAGCCUAGGGCUUUCCAUUGUAAUCAAAUAUAAAUAAGAUGCAUAGUUAUAUUCAUGAUGUGAUAAUUUUCAUUUGUAACACAUACAAUGAAGUCUAAAUUAAUGGCUAAAAUUAAUGAGGUUUGGAUCUGGGAAAUGCUCUCAUAUGCCAUUUGAGUGUUUUCGCUUUGGAGUAAAAUCGGUGGAAAUUUGCCUGUUUCUGUCCUUUGUUUCCAGUUGAAUAUCUCCCACUUGAACUCAAUUCUUGAAAAAUUCCCUAUUUAAUGUGAAAUCAUGGACUUGGCAUAGCCUUGCUUUUGUGAAACAUUUUUUUAUUUUAAGCAUUUUCAUAUUUGCAUUACUACUGUGAUUAUGCUAACUUUUUUUAAAAAAUUUCUAAUUGCAGAUGAUAUUUUGAUUGGAAGUACGUAUAUGAUCAUAAGUGGCUCAACAGAUGGGAGCAUUACUUUCUGGGAUCUCACUGAAACUGUUAAGAAUUUCAUGCAAGAAGUUUUAGAAAUUCACCCAGAAACGAUGAUUGAUUAUCAAAGGCGUCCCCGAACAGGAAGAGGAAGCCAGGGGGGCCGGUGGUGGAGAUCUUUGCCAAACCGAUCCUUGGAAAAAAGAGUUUUAGAUACUUCCGCCCAAAAGAAAAUUAUGAAUUCUAACAAUAUUAAAGAUGCGGAUGAGACUGUAUAUGAGAAAUCUUCUGCAUAUGAUAGUACUUCUGUAAGCAUGCAUGAAAGCCUUACCAGAAGCUCAGCACCCAAUCUAGUCGAAGUGAAACCGUUGUUUGUUUUGAACUCUGUUCACCAGUCAGGUGUCAACUGCUUACAUGCUUCAAAGAUGAAGGAUUUUGUGCAUUCAGAACCCGAAAAAAACGAAAAUGCUUACUGUAUUGUAAGUGGCGGGGACGAUCAAGCAUUGAACUGUUUUUGGUUCACUAUUGAAGGAGCUAUGAAAUCCGAUUCUAGCCAAAUUGAAACAGAUGAUAUUAGACCAUCAUUUCAGGAUAAGACAGGUAUUAUCAGAUUCUUAGUACCUGCUUUCUUUUUUUUUUUAUUUGGCUUUUAUUUACUUGAAGAUUGUUUCUUGCCUAGCUCCUAGCAUUGUGAAAUGUUCUCUUCUUGGUUCGUCUAGUGACUGUAAGCUUAGCAUUCUUCAUCAAGAUAAAAUUGCAGCAGCUCAUAGCUCAGCAGUGAAAGGUAGCUGCUAAACUUUUUUCUUUACCCCCUUUCAAUAACUAAACAUUGAACCUUUAUUGACAAAUAUGAAUUUACUGAAUGAUUGUAAAUCCAUCUCAAAUUAAUCCUCCUAACUGUCAAUUGGGAAAGAAACCUAACAUAUUGAACUGAUUAUUAUCAAUUACUACUAUUCUUUUGUGUAGGUAUUUGGACAGAUGGUCGAUGGGCUUUCUCGACUGGUCUUGAUCAGCGAAUCAGAUGUUGGCGAGUUGAGCAUGGUAAAUUAAAAGAGCAUGCUCACCUGAUUAUUAGUGUGCCUGAGCCAGAAACCCUAGAUGCUCUAAUUUGCGACAGGUGGAGCUUUUUCCCAUAUUCUUUUCUGCUGGUGAUUAGCUUAAAAGUACCCUCUUCAACUAAUUAGUUGGUGGUUUUUCUUUCUGGUUAGCAUGAAGAGCAAAUACCAAAUCGCAGUUGCUGGGAGGGGCAUGCAAAUGGUUGAGUUCUCUUCAUCAUAGAGUAGAUUUGAUGUAUUAUUGAAUCGAAAUUUCAGGUCUUGGAUUGAUAUAAACUUUGCUUCUAGUAUUACUUUCCAAUUUGUUGUUCUUUUAUCUAAUUCAAAAUGGAAAUGAUUAAAACUGUCUCUUUGAAAUGCAGGUGUUUUUUCUUCCUGACACCUCAAAGAGGACUUAAUGGUUAUUAACUUAUUAUCGAUUUGACACCGGUGAAAGGUUUUUAUAAUCUCAGAUACCGAUUAAGUCUUGUUUUUAGGUUUUUGCUUAAUUUUCUGAUUAUUUAUUAUGGGAGUUCACUGAAUCUGUUCCGUUAUGGAUUUUAGCUUGCUAUCAGGGAUUCUCUCUAAUUUAUCGACAGUUUGCAAGACUGACCACUUAAUGGCUCGCUAUUGUUGAUUUAUACGUCACAUUUAGGAACACAGACAAAACUAAAAGAUUAGUAUAAUACUUGGUUUUUUGGUUACUUCCUGGAGAGUUACUAGUUAUUUUAACCUGUUUGAAGAAAUCUAUUUGUUUUCUUGGGGUUUUGCGGCAGCUGUUCUCAUGUUCUAUUCAUUUUCUUCAGAAACAAGGACGGUUAAACUAAAGUCUUUGUCAUUUUUCAGUAUCUCAUCAUAUAUUACUAGUGUAGGGCCGGCGCUUUGCGACGGGUAGAUAGUAUUUUAGUCAAUUAAAAAAUAUAUAUUUAGUAAAAUUUUAAGAUUGAAAAAAUUAUAGCUAAAGAAUAAAAAAAAAAGGAUAAUUGCCUCUAUACCCCUCAAAACUUUAAAAAUAUCUAAUUUAUUCAUACUUUUUUUUUGUUUCAAAUAUACCCCUCAUAUGUUCUUCUGUUAUUUAAAAAUGUCCCCACAGUUAUCACCCGUUAAGUUAUCCCGGGUUAAACGUGAAUUAAAUGUCUAUCAGAGUUAAAAAAAAUUUAAAAUUCCUCUUUUGCCUUAAUUUAAGGGCAAAUAAGAAAAGUUGGUGAUGGUAGAAGGGAAAAUUUGAAAAGAUAAAAAAUCAAAAUACUUCUUUUGCCCCUAGCUUAUGGGUAAAUAAGAGAAGUUGGUGAUGGUAGAAGAGUAUAUUUGAAAGGACAAAAUAGUAAUUUUAUAAAGAUAAUGACUGUUGCUAAACAGUUCAUUGACAAAAUUUAACUCUAGUGGUAUAUUUGAAAUAACUUGAAAUGUUAAAAGGGCAUUUUUAAUAUUAGCCUUUUAAGAGGGGUAAAUUAGAAAGCCGGAAAAUUUUCAAGGAUAUAUAAGCAAUUGCGCCAAAAAAAAACUAUAAAAUAGUUUUAUGUACAUUAUAAAAAAUAACAUUUUAUUAAUAUUUUCUUAACUUUCAAUAUUUGUAGAGUUAAAUUAUUCUACUAAUUUUAUUUAAAAAUUUAAUUAAACUUACCAGUUUUAAUAGCUAUUUUAUAAAUAAUUUUUUAAACUAAAAGAUUAAUAAUGUAAAUAGAGAAAAUAAUCAUUAUAAUAAUGUAAAUAAAUUAAAAAAAAUUAAUCUAUACACCGGGUGUAUAAUUAUUUUUUUGCAUUGUAUUUACAAAACUUUAUUAUAGAAGUAAAAAUCCAGUAAUUUUUAUAUAUAGAUUUUUUAUAUAUCAUAGAUUGCAUUUUUGAGAUCAAAAUUUAAUUUUAUUAUAUUAAUUGUCAAAAAAUAGGUUUGGUUCAUAUAAUUAAUUUGUAGACUUGGUGCAGGCAAAAAAAUAGAAUAUAAGGACAUGUUUGGUUCACCUAUUUUAGAUUAUGGAAUCGGAAUGGAAUUCAUUGAUUUCGAUAAUUGUUGUUUGUUUUGUAGGAAUUGGAUUCAGAUUCUCAUUUCACUCCGAAAUGGGAAUGGCCAAAUCCAUUUAUGGCCCAAUCCGGUCUUGAAUUUUAGAUUGGCCUAUUCUAAAGUGAGAAGGGCGGGGGGUGGGGGGGAUGGAGAAGAAAGUGACAUGUGGCUAAAUGACUCACAAUUCAUUAUAUAGAAUAGAAUAGAUUAGAAAAACUUCAAAAAUGUCCUUUUAGUAUAGUGCAUUAGCAGCUUAGAGUGUGUUUGGUUCCUCGUAAAAUCACCUUGAAAGAAAAAUUUCGGUGAAAAAGUGAGAUUCCGACGUUUGUUUGGUCGUAAAAAGAUUUUCUCGGAAUUUUUUUUUUACGAAUUGUAAGGAAAACGCGUGUUUUCAUUUUCCGCUUGAAACCAGCAGAAAGCGAAAACCAACGCCCGAGAAAUCGCGGCAUUGGGAGGGUGAGGGGGGCAGCAGGCACGCGGUCCACGAGGCAUACCCCACCUCGUGGACCACGACCUCUCUCUCCCCCCUCUUUUCUUUUACAUAUAUAUAAUAUAUUUAUAUUUUAAAAAUAGUAUUUUAUUUUUACUAUAAAUAUAUUUAUAAUAUAUUAUUUUAUUUAUAAAUAUCUAGUAAUUUAUUUUAUAGUAUUAAAUAUAUACUAUUAUAUAUAUUAUAUUACAUACUUAAUUAUUGCAUAAUAUAUUUUAAAUAUAUUUUAUUUAUAAAUAUAAACUAUAAUACUACUAUAUGUAAUAUGAUAAUAAUUAUAUAGCAAUAAUAUAAAAUAUAUAGAAUAAGAAAAAAUAUAUAACCUUUUCUUUUUUCUUUCCUUUUAAUCAAACAACUGUAACGAAAAAUUAUUUUUUUCCCUACAAACCAAACAGUAAAGGACGUAAAAUUUAUUUUCAUUCGAAAUUUUUUUUUCCACCGAAUUUUUUUUUUUUUUUUUUUAUAGUUUUAUGUCAAAAACCAAAGACACCCUUACUACUUUUGGGUGAAAGUAUAGUAGCCUGUCAUUGUGUGAUUUCCUUUUUAGUUUUCCCUUAGGGCUUACUGGAAAGAAAUCCUAGAAAGUAUAACAUUUUAAAAACUACUAAAUGGAAAUAAAGUGCUAUUUUUCAUGAUAUUUAUAAAGUGUAGAUAACACAAGUUACUGGUGUUACAAUUUCAAAUCGCACCAUAGUACACGCUGCAAAUGCAUUCAUUAUAUUCUGGGGGUGCUUUUAAUGAACUGUCCUUAAUGUUUUUUACAGUUCACUCUAAUGCUGAUGACCAGCGCCUAGGAUUCUAUUAAAGACAUUUGUGUAUGUUUGCUUCUCCAGAUGCCGCAGGUGAAAUUAUGUUUCUUGUCUGAAAGCUCAGUGGGGCAGCUUGAGAGGUACAUCUCCUCAUAAAUAUUUCUUCCUUUGGAAGUAUUUGCUGGUUUCCUCAAUGCAAAUGUGGUGUGAAAUCUUGUGUUGUUGACCAAUUCCUAGUCCUAAUCCACCGUUUAUUUCGGGGUUUGCUUUAGUUAGUGACUGAAUCACAUAGCCUGUUUCCAUCUCUUUGAGAACAUUGGAUGCCUAGUUACCGAGUUUUUCGAGGCAAUCCAGUUAGGUUUCUUAAGAGACUGGAUUAGACUAGGGUGGCAUAAAGUUAGUGCUUAGUUAAGAGAGGCAUAUACUAUCGUUAUACUAGUCUAUAUUGAGAUUUGGACCUAAUUUUUUGGUACGUAAAAAGUGAGAAAAUUUCCUCUUUUUCCCUGUUUUGGAAAGUUGUUGGGAGUUGUUGAUACUUUGUCAUUAAGUGUGAUGAUGCAGUUACUUUCCUUUGGUUUCUUCCUCAUUAUAUUAAUCUAAAUUACUAUCAGAAAAUCCGCGAUAUGAGAUUGAUUUUCUUUGGAUUGAAAGUAGGUUUUGAUCAAGAUUGGCAUUUCCCCGUUUCUUGAGUUGUUUGAUUGUAUAUAGCUGUUGUUGCACUAAAGAUCUAAGUUUAUUGUUUGAAUUACUGCAUCAGCAUUAUAUAGUUUGUGUAUCUCUUCUAAUUUAAGUAAUUGCUUUAUAAGCUGUACCAUCAGAGGUGGCGAAAAUAUGUAGGGAUAUGGACCAUUCAAAUCAUAUCUUAAUCAAGCGUGUUGUUAUUACAUACAUUUUUUUUUUUGUUUCCGUAUGCAACACAUUAUUCAGAGUCCUAAAUGAAAUCUAGGAACAAUACUAAAUAAUAGCAGAUGUGAAAACGCUGAAAUUAAUGGCUGAUUUUUAUGUGGUUUAGGAUGCAUUGAAGUGUGAACAUAUGAGCAUUGACUAUGUAAUGUUGUAGCCAAAGUCACAACUCUCAAUAUCAAUAAUGAACCGACCGCCCCUAUAGCAAGUGGUAAAGGACUUGAUGGUUAGUACCUGAGGUUCUAAGUUCGAAUUCUAGUUGAUUCAUAUUUUCAGCUAAGUUUAUUUCUAAAUGAAAUAAACGAAGCGGGUAGUGUGCUACCUAUCUCUCUCUCUCAAAAAAAAAAGAAAAAUAUAACAUAUCUCUGUGCUGAUCGGACAGAGUUUAUACUAAUGUUGCUGCACUAUAGAUAAUAUGAAAAUAGUGUUUAUAGUAAAUUAUGCUUUUGGCCCUCAAACUAUGAGGCGAGUGACACUUUAGUCUUCGAAUUCUAAUUUGUUGUAAUUUUUGGCUUGAACUAUGAGGCAAGUGAUUUUUUAAUCCUUGAACUUCUAGCUCAAAAGUAUGAGAUAUGUGAUAUUUUAGUCUUCAAAAGAUUUGUAACAAUAUUCUAUUUGAUGAUGUAAUAAUAAUUAAAAUGAUACAUUACUUCAAUAUUAGUAAUUCAUUGAUACUUAUUAAAAAAAAAAAUGUUUAGUUGAAGAAGGAGAUAAGAUUAAUGUGCUUUUUUUUUAGGGUGUAUUUCAGCGUGUUCCUUUAAUUCUCAUCACAACUAAGGCGAAGAAUAGAAACUAAAGUAUGGAUGUGAAUAUGAUAAUUCAGUUUUUGUGUUUAAAUACGGUGGUUGGAUUUUCGUGUUUAACUUAAUAUGAUUUUCUCCUAUCUAAUGUGAUGCUCCUGUGGUAAGAAACAGGCCAUUUAUAUAAAUAGGAAUUUGUUGGGGUCAUUUGUAAAUAAAAUAUUUUUGAGGGAGCUAAAUUCCAAAAAAGGCCCCAAUUAGAUGUAUUUAUUUAUACAAUACUUGGAGAGAUAUCUUCUUGGACACCUCUUAAACUGCAAAAAUUUGUACUUUCUCUAGGUUAGGAGUAAUCUCGCAAUUCUACAUAUAAAAUGAUAAUAUAAUCAUAAUAAAACUAAAAAAAUAUUGUAGUUGUAGUUCUCUCAACUAUAUACAUGCUAUCUUAUUAGACAAAUAUAGAUACAACUGGUGCAUGUUCCACUGCAUUACAUAAUUAAUGCACUAUAAUAUUUUAUUUACAAUUAUAUUAAACUAAAAGCUAGUUCCAUGUUUUAUUCCUUGAAAUGUGCUACAAUUGCCACGAGUGAGUACUUAUUAUACAAACAACAGCUGUUGCUGCUUUUUUUUAUUUUUUUUUAUUUUUUAUUUUUUUAUGUUUCUUUGCUUCUUUUUUUUUUCUUAGUAAGAAACACCAAAAAGCAUAGCAGUUACCUAACCCUAAUUUUCAAAUGGAAUUGUUUUGUUGCAUCAAAGAGGAAAGAAGAGUGUAUGGCAGGGCCGAGGGUAAUUAUGAAGCUUCUAGAACAUGGGAAAGAAAACAGUUUUAAUAUGAUCAUGCAAUAUUAGCUUCCAUUUGUGGAAUAUAAAAUAUUAAACAUACAAUAUAUAUCUUAAUGUGAUCACACAAUAUUAAUUAAAGUAUACACACCUCUUGUACUCAAAUUGUAAUAGUAUGCUGAUAUUUUUUUCCUAGGAUUUCAUAUAUUAAACUUCAAAAUGUUCCUUAUAAAAUAUUGUGGUAUUUUUGUAUGUACAAGUAAUUUGUGGAGCAUUACAUUAAGAUAUAUAUUGUAUGUUUAAUAUUUUAUAUUCCACAAAUGGAAGCUAAUAUUGCAUGAUCAUAUUAAAACUGUUUUCUUUCCCAUGUUCUAGAAGCUUCAUAAUUACCCUCGGCCCUGCCAUACACUCUUCUUUCCUCUUUGAUGCAACAAAACAAUUCCAUUUGAAAAUUAGGGUUAGGUAACUGCUAUGCUUUUUGGUGUUUCUUACUAAGAAAAAAAAAAGAAGCAAAGAAACAUAAAAAAAUAAAAAAUAAAAAAAAAUAAAAAAAAGCAGCAACAGCUGUUGUUUGUAUAAUAAGUACUCACUCGUGGCAAUUGUAGCACAUUUCAAGGAAUAAAACAUGGAACUAGCUUUUAGUUUAAUAUAAUUGUAAAUAAAAUAUUAUAGUGCAUUAAUUAUGUAAUGCAGUGGAACAUGCACCAGUUGUAUCUAUAUUUGUCUAAUAAGAUAGCAUGUAUAUAGUUGAGAGAACUACAACUACAAUAUUUUUUUAGUUUUAUUAUGAUUAUAUUAUCAUUUUAUAUGUAGAAUUGCGAGAUUACUCCUAACCUAGAGAAAGUACAAAUUUUUGCAGUUUAAGAGGUGUCCAAGAAGAUAUCUCUCCAAGUAUUGUAUAAAUAAAUACAUCUAAUUGGGGCCUUUUUUGGAAUUUAGCUCCCUCAAAAAUAUUUUAUUUACAAAUGACCCCAACAAAUUCCUAUUUAUAUAAAUGGCCUGUUUCUUACCACAGGAGCAUCACAUUAGAUAGGAGAAAAUCAUAUUAAGUUAAACACGAAAAUCCAACCACCGUAUUUAAACACAAAAACUGAAUUAUCAUAUUCACAUCCAUACUUUAGUUUCUAUUCUUCGCCUUAGUUGUGAUGAGAAUUAAAGGAACACGCUGAAAUACACCCUAAAAAAAAAGCACAUUAAUCUUAUCUCCUUCUUCAACUAAACAUUUUUUUUUUUAAUAAGUAUCAAUGAAUUACUAAUAUUGAAGUAAUGUAUCAUUUUAAUUAUUAUUACAUCAUCAAAUAGAAUAUUGUUACAAAUCUUUUGAAGACUAAAAUAUCACAUAUCUCAUACUUUUGAGCUAGAAGUUCAAGGAUUAAAAAAUCACUUGCCUCAUAGUUCAAGCCAAAAAUUACAACAAAUUAGAAUUCGAAGACUAAAGUGUCACUCGCCUCAUAGUUUGAGGGCCAAAAGCAUAAUUUACUAUAAACACUAUUUUCAUAUUAUCUAUAGUGCAGCAACAUUAGUAUAAACUCUGUCCGAUCAGCACAGAGAUAUGUUAUAUUUUUCUUUUUUUUUUGAGAGAGAGAGAUAGGUAGCACACUACCCGCUUCGUUUAUUUCAUUUAGAAAUAAACUUAGCUGAAAAUAUGAAUCAACUAGAAUUCGAACUUAGAACCUCAGGUACUAACCAUCAAGUCCUUUACCACUUGCUAUAGGGGCGGUCGGUUCAUUAUUGAUAUUGAGAGUUGUGACUUUGGCUACAACAUUACAUAGUCAAUGCUCAUAUGUUCACACUUCAAUGCAUCCUAAACCACAUAAAAAUCAGCCAUUAAUUUCAGCGUUUUCACAUCUGCUAUUAUUUAGUAUUGUUCCUAGAUUUCAUUUAGGACUCUGAAUAAUGUGUUGCAUACGGAAACAAAAAAAAAAAUGUAUGUAAUAACAACACGCUUGAUUAAGAUAUGAUUUGAAUGGUCCAUAUCCCUACAUAUUUUCGCCACCUCUGAUGGUACAGCUUAUAAAGCAAUUACUUAAAUUAGAAGAGAUACACAAACUAUAUAAUGCUGAUGCAGUAAUUCAAACAAUAAACUUAGAUCUUUAGUGCAACAACAGCUAUAUACAAUCAAACAACUCAAGAAACGGGGAAAUGCCAAUCUUGAUCAAAACCUACUUUCAAUCCAAAGAAAAUCAAUCUCAUAUCGCGGAUUUUCUGAUAGUAAUUUAGAUUAAUAUAAUGAGGAAGAAACCAAAGGAAAGUAACUGCAUCAUCACACUUAAUGACAAAGUAUNAUAUAUAUAUAUAUAUAUAUAUAUAGAGCUAGGCUGGUAUACUACCGGUAGCACGGAGGCCUCCGUGGUACCAAGUUGUUUUCAAUAAUGCGGCUUCUAAAUCGACGAUUGGCUCCGUUAGACUUGAUCUACACUAUUAAAAGUAUUUAGAAACUACGUUUCAUAAUUUUUCGAUAUCAUUUGGUUAGUGAUCAAAAGGUCUCAAAAUUAACAAUUUUAAUGAUAGAUGUGAUGCGUUUGUGAAUUUAACGGUAUAAAACAAUCCAAAUUUAAUAAAAUUUUUAUAAAUUUUUUUUUUCACUAUUUAAAAUAAUAUCAGUAUCUCUGAUCUUAAAUUCAAGCUUUUUAUCAUCAUUUUUUAUGAGAUUUUUUUUUUCAACCGUUCAUUUUUAGACUACUCGUUUGGUAGGUAAAUGAUAUCGAAAAAUUAUAAAAUUUAGUUUCCAAAUGCUUUCAAUAGUAUAGAUCAAAUUUAAUGAAGCCAAUCGUCGAUUUGGAAGCCACAUCAUUAAAAACAACUUGGUAGCACGGAGACCUCCGUGCUACCGAUAGUAUACCAGCGUAGCGCUCUCUCUCUCUCUCUCUAUAUAUAUAUAGAGAGAGAGAGAAAGAGAGAGAGAGAGAGAGAGAGCGCUAGUCUCUUAUACUAUCUAUAGUACCGGGGUUCCGGUACUAUAGUCUCGUUUUUGAUAUUAGGGUGUUCAAAUCAACGAUCAACACUGUUAAAACGGAUCUAAGGUAUUUAAAGUUUUUAGAAAUAAAAUUUUAUAUUUUUUCGAUAUAGUUUAUUUUUAUGAUCAAACAAUUUCAAAAUUGUCAAUUUUCAAUGGCUACUAUGGCGAGUUUGGAGUUUAACGGUGUAGAAGAAUCUAAAUUUGUUCAAAUUUUGAUAGAAAAUAUUUUAAACUAUUUAGAUUAAGGUUAACAUUCUUGAUCUUGAAUUUAAGAGUCCUAUGUUCAAAUUUUAAAAAUUAUUCAAUUUUUAUCGUCUAUUUUGACAUAAUUUAUUUACUAAAUAAACGAUGUCGAAAAAAACUAAAAUUUUAUUCCUAAGAACUUUAUAUGCUCUAGAUUAUACUUAACGGUAUUGAUCGUUAAUUUGAACACCAUAAGAUCAAAAACAAGACUAUAGUACCGGAGCUCCUGGACUAUAAAUAGUAUAGUAGCCUAAUUCUAUAUAUACUAGGCCCCACCAGCACCAACCUCCUCUUGGUGCCACAUGGAUGCAACUGAGGUUUCAUUAUAUCUUAUAUAUAUAUAUAUAUAUAUAUAUAUAUAUAUAUAUAGGCUGGGGCUAUUUUACUUAUAUGAGUAUAGAGCCCUUUGUACUUAUAACUUUUCGGCCGUUCAGAUGAAAAAAUGUGCGGUUGGGAUGAUGGUGGUUACGAUUAGGUUGAUAGUGGCCCCCCUAGGGUCGAGUGGGUGGUUGGUUGAAUAGUAUAAUUUAACGGGUGAAAAUGAUUAAAGGGUAGAUCGAACGGUAAAAAAUUUAUGAGUACAACAGGCUCUAUACUCAUAUACUCUGAGUGUAGUAACCGGACUAUAUAUAUAUAUAUAUAUAUAUUUCUCUUUUUUUUUUUUGGUUUUUUGCUACUAUGGUUCACACAGUUUUUCACCGCACAAAUUUGAAAAUCAGAUAUAAUUAAUUAUAAUUAACCACCACCAAAAAAAUUCAUUUUGCANGAAAAAAAAAAAGAGAAAUUGAGAAGAAAUUUAGGGAGAAAAAAAAUUACGAUAUUGAAUUUCUUCUUGAUUUAAUUCUCUUCUCUCUCUCAUCCUAACCAUCUAUCAAAAUUGUUGGAUAAAUAGCAAGUUAGGAGGAUAAGGACUCACGUGCUCCUAAUAACAUAGUGGUCCUGUUCUAUAUAGCUAGCCCAAGAUAGUUAAAGAAAAGGGCAUUCCAAUAAGACUAUUUAUUAGUGUAAAGUAUGGAAAAGAAAAAAGAAAAAAUAAACCUUCUUAUGAUUAUAGCACUUUUUCAGUUUAAUAUCAUACAUGUAGUAGUGUGGUUCAAAAUAUAGCAAUUUUCUUUCUGUAAUUUCUAUUUGUAUCUUUUACUGAAUAAGAACCUAUUAUUAAUUAGAACAGCAAAAUGUUACCCACUAUACAUAAACAUCAUUAAUUAGAAUACCAGCAUCAAGUUCGACACUCUGAACCACAUAAUAGUAAACAAUAAAUACGCCGUAUUCAAGAAUAAAUUAGCUUUUUCUUUUUUUCUUUUUUUCUUUAUUUCUUCGAGGUUCUGGUUGUUUCACCCCUGUAGCCUAAUUUAUAGUUUCAAUGAAUGAAGCAGAUAACGCGCUACCUAUUCUCAAAAAAAUAAAUACGCUUUAUUUUGAACUACAUAAUAGUAAACCAUAAAUAUACUAUAUCUAAAAACAGAUUCUUAUGAUAAAUGGGGAGAGGGAGAGAGAGAAGGAUCAAAUUACUGCUAUAGCCAAAAAAAAUUAAAAAGAAAAAAAGAAAAUUAUAAUCAAUAUUUCUCUUUUUUUUUUUUGGUUUUUUGCUACUAUGGUUCACACAGUUUUUCACCGCACAAAUUUGAAAAUCAGAUAUAAUUAAUUAUAAUUAACCACCACCAAAAAAAUUCAUUUUGCAUAGUAUAGUAAUAUUGAUUAUAAUUUUCUUUUUUUCUUUUUAAUUUUUUUUGGCUAUAGCAGUAAUUUGAUCCUUCUCUCUCUCCCUCUCCCCAUUUAUCAUAAGAAUCUGUUUUUAGAUAUAGUAUAUUUAUGGUUUACUAUUAUGUAGUUCAAAAUAAAGCGUAUUUAUUUUUUUGAGAAUAGGUAGCGCGUUAUCUGCUUCAUUCAUUGAAACUAUAAAUUAGGCUACAGGGGUGAAACAACCAGAACCUCGAAGAAAUAAAGAAAAAAAGAAAAAAAGAAAAAGCUAAUUUAUUCUUGAAUACGGCGUAUUUAUUGUUUACUAUUAUGUGGUUCAGAGUGUCGAACUUGAUGCUGGUAUUCUAAUUAAUGAUGUUUAUGUAUAGUGGGUAACAUUUUGCUGUUCUAAUUAAUAAUAGGUUCUUAUUCAGUAAAAGAUACAAAUAGAAAUUACAGAAAGAAAAUUGCUAUAUUUUGAACCACACUACUACAUGUAUGAUAUUAAACUGAAAAAGUGCUAUAAUCAUAAGAAGGUUUAUUUUUUCUUUUUUCUUUUCCAUACUUUACACUAAUAAAUAGUCUUAUUGGAAUGCCCUUUUCUUUAACUAUCUUGGGCUAGCUAUAUAGAACAGGACCACUAUGUUAUUAGGAGCACGUGAGUCCUUAUCCUCCUAACUUGCUAUUUAUCCAACAAUUUUGAUAGAUGGUUAGGAUGAGAGAGAGAAGAGAAUUAAAUCAAGAAGAAAUUCAAUAUCGUAAUUUUUUUUCUCCCUAAAUUUCUUCUCAAUUUUUUUUUUUUUUUUUUUUUUUUUUUUUUUUUUUAUCCUAAUCAUUCAUCAAAAUUAAUGAAUGAUCGGAAAGUUAGAAGGAUAAGAAUCGCUAUACUCAUAAUAGCACAUGAGCCCUACUCAGCUGUAUAUUAUAUUAUCCAUUUAUGCUAUAAACAAUUCAAGAGCCUCUUAUCUACUCUUCUCUCCCAAUCUCUUAUUAUUAUAUUAGUCUCCUUGCAGUGUUUUCACCUUAGCAUCCUCCUGGCUAGUCAAACCUACUACAAAUAACACUAAUCACCUACCAGUAGAAUAAUAAGAUAAAAAGUAAAAAUAAAAAUAAAAAAAAAUAAAAAGGAGAAAGGAGAAAAGCAAAAGCAUGGCACUGAUCAUGACCUAACUAGUCCUCUGCCAAAGCUGGACCCUUUAAUUAGCAAAAAUUAUUCAAAGCUAUCUAUCUCUCUCUCUCUCUCUCUCUCUCUUUAUAUAUAUAUAUAUAUAUAUAUAUAUAUAUAUAUAUAUAUAUAUAUAUUUUCUUUGUGCAUAUAUAUAUAUAUAUGGNNNNNNNNNNNNNNNNNNNNNNNNNNNNNNNNNNNNNNNNNNNNNNNNNNNNNNNNNNNNNNNNNNNNNNNNNNNNNNNNNNNNNNNNNNNNNNNNNNNNNNNNNNNNNNNNNNNNNNNNNNNNNNNNNNNNNNNNNNNNNNNNNNNNNNNNNNNNNNNNNNNNNNNNNNNNNNNNNNNNNNNNNNNNNNNNNNNNNNNNNNNNNNNNNNNNNNNNNNNNNNNNNNNNNNNNNNNNNNNNNNNNNNNNNNNNNNNNNNNNNNNNNNNNNNNNNNNNNNNNNNNNNNNNNNNNNNNNNNNNNNNNNNNNNNNNNNNNNNNNNNNNNNNNNNNNNNNNNNNNNNNNNNNNNNNNNNNNNNNNNNNNNNNNNNNNNNNNNNNNNNNNNNNNNNNNNNNNNNNNNNNNNNNNNNNNNNNNNNNNNNNNNNNNNNNNNNNNNNNNNNNNNNNNNNNNNNNNNNNNNNNNNNNNNNNNNNNNNNNNNNNNNNNNNNNNNNNNNNNNNNNNNNNNNNNNNNNNNNNNNNNNNNNNNNNNNNNNNNNNNNNNNNNNNNNNNNNNNNNNNNNNNNNNNNNNNNNNNNNNNNNNNNNNNNNNNNNNNNNNNNNNNNNNNNNNNNNNNNNNNNNNNNNNNNNNNNNNNNNNNNNNNNNNNNNNNNNNNNNNNNNNNNNNNNNNNNNNNNNNNNNNNNNNNNNNNNNNNNNNNNNNNNNNNNNNNNNNNNNNNNNNNCCGUGCUACCAAUAGUAUAGUAGCCGGACUAUAUAUAUAUAUAUAUAUAUAUAUAUAGAAUUAAGCUGCAAUGCUAUUAAUAGAACCCAGCUGUAUUGUCAUUAGAUUUUCGGCCUUUAGAUUAAGAAAUGUACGUUUAUGAUGAUAUGGAUCUUGUAGGGUUGAGUGAGUUGUUGAUUGAAUAAUAUAAUCUAACGGGUGAAAAUAGUCAAAAGAAAAUGUAUGAUUAGAAUGAUGUGAGCCUCCUAAAGUUGAGUUAAUUGUUGGUUAAGUAGUAUAAUCUAACGGGUGAAAAUAGUAAAUGGGUUAAAUCUAACGACGGAGAGAGAGAGAGAGGGGGUUGUGUUAAAAUACUAUUAAUAGUAUUUAUGUGAAUAAUAUUUACUAUCUACUUUUUAAUUAUUGAAUUUCUACAAUUUACGCGGCGGGGGUGGGGGCUUUAGUGGAUAGUAUGAUUUAAAUGGUGAAAAAAUUGAUAGUAAUUACUACUCAGAUACUAUUAAUAAUAUCCGAGUUGAACUCUCUCUCUCUCUCUCUCUAUAUAUAUAUAUAUAUAUAUAUAUAUGCAAUGGGAAGCUCUUCAACGACGCCACAUUGAGGAGCUCUCAUUCCGCCUCUAUCUAAGAUCUGUAAUUCUAUCCUCCACAGUUUAAUAUUUUUUUGAAUAACUUAGUAUUUGAAAAAUAUUUAAUAAAUUUUUGAACGAAGGUAAAACUAAUAUGUGGCAACAGAUCAGGGCUCUCUAAUGCUGCAUUUUGGGGAGCUCGAACAUGCAUGCAAAUAGGGUGUUUUUAAAGAUGCAAGGACCAACUUUAUGAAGAUAUAAUUAUACUACAUAAAUAUUUAGCACUUUGAAGGGCUAUCUAUGCAAAAUAAAUAAAAAAAAAUAAAAACCAUUUCUUUUCUGCACCUUUUUGAGUGGAGACUAAAAAUGUGAUCUUUGGUUUGGUGGAGCUUUACUCUUUGGCCAUUGCAUUAAAAAGGAUUUCAUUGUUCUAUAAAAAUUUUAAAAAAAUUUUAAAAAAAAUCGCAUUAAUUUUUUUUUAUUGGAAGAUUGUUCUUCUGUAAUAAAUAUAAUAUGUCAAUAUUAUAAAUAUUACUCCAAUGAUUUAGCCUGUGUGAAGCAUACACUAUCCACACUCCACAUUGUUUGACCAAUUAAAUACAUAGCCCUUUUAAAAAAUAAUUCAUUACAUACAUCAAUGCAUGUAUUUGCUAGGGUAUACUUGGAAAUUUGUACUUGAAAAAUAUAUCUUUACUUAACUGAUCUAACAUGUUCUUAUUAAUGUGAUCACCCACACAUGCUAUAGGAGUUACUUUAUUAAAAAAAAAAAAAAUCCCCAAAUUAUGACACUUUUGUUUCUAGUAGAAAGUCACAUCCCAAAGAUUUGUCAAAAGUGCUUCUCAAAUGAACAAAGAAAAAAAAACAUUUGUCAAAGUGGAAAAAAAACAAUAAAUAGAUGUAGAAAGAAGUUACACUUCUCUAUCUAUCACACAUCAUGAGUCAACAACUAACAUUUAUUAUUAUAAUAAAUUAAACUAGUAAUCCAAAACCUUAAUUAGUUUAGUGUAAAAUAUUAUAUAAAAUUAAUCUUUACAAAAAAAAAAGUGUGUCCACUGUGGUAAUUUUACUAAUAUAGUUGGGCAAAUUCUGUGAUACAAAAAUAAUAUAGUUUUAGGUAUUCUAAGAUAUGUACAAAAAUAAAAUUAAGAAUAAAAAUAUUUUUAUAAGACAGAAAUUUUAUUAUGAAAAUAAAAUUUUCAUAUAGAAGGAGAUAAAGGUUGAGGUAGUAAAAUGUUUUAACAAAAUUUGGUUAUAAAAAAGGUCUUUUCACUUGCUAUUAAAAGUCAUGUGUUGAAAUAUUAAAUGGAAAGAUGUGACCAAGGCACAGCUACACUGAUAGGUGACUUUAUACCAGCCAUAAUCCUGCAAGCAUUAAAGGAGUCUCAACUAUUUGUCCAUUGUAGAUGUGGUUCAUAUAUAUAUAUAUAUAUAUAUAUAUAUAUAUAUAUAGAGAGAGAGAGAGAGAGAGAGAGAGAGAGAGUCCGGCUAUGGUGCUUGUAAAAGCACCAAGUACUUGGUACUUGUAAGUUUUUUACCGUUAGAUCUACUUCUUUGAUCAUUUUCAACCGUUAGAUUAUACUAUUCAACCAACUACCCACUCAUUCCUAGGGGGCCCACAUCAUCAUAACCGCACAUAACUUAAUCCAAGGGCCGAAAACUUAUAAGUACCAAUGACUUGGUACUUUUAAAAGCAUAGGAGCUCAAUUAUAUAUAUAUAUAUAUAUAACUUAUAUUAAUAUAGGAUAAUUGCCUACUAUCUUAUUAAUAGGAUAUGAGUACUUGUUCUAUCAACGUUGUUUUUGAAUGAUCGAGAUUCCGAAUCGAUGAAUCGGAGGCCGUUGAGUUGCAUUUAGAGUAUUUGAAAUUCUAGAAACUAAUUUCAAUAAAUUUUGAUAACUGGUUUACAUGUCGUGAUCAAAUAGUGGUCGUAAAAUUUGACAAUUUUUGACGGCCUAUAUGAGCUUUGCUUGUUUUAACGGUGUAGAGAAUCUUAAAUUGCUUGAUUUUGAUUAGAAAAUUCCUUCUAUACUAUUUUAGAUAAUUGUUGAUAAACUCGAUUACGAACCUGAGAAAGUCUAACCUCUCUAUUUUAAGAGGUGUUAUAUUUCAUGGACCAUUCAUUUUUCAACUCUUAAGAAUGAACUAAUGAUAAUGAUUUUUAAAUAAAUACAAAAUUUGGUUUCUAAAUGAUUUCUUAAAUUAUGAGAUCACUUCAACGGCUUGCGAUUAUCAAUUUGAAGGUUUCAAUCAUUCAAAUUGACAUUGAUAGCGACAGGGGUCCCAAUCCUAUUAAUAGGAUAAGUAGCCUAGGACCCUAAUUAUAUAUAUAUAUAUAUAUAUAUAUAUAUAUAUAUAUAAAGUCCGGUUACUAUACUCUUAUGAGUACGAUCGCCUUCGUACUCAUAAGUUGUUUUCGAUGAUAGAGGUUCCGAAUUGACGAUCCAUACCGUUAAAAGUUAUCUAGAGCAUUUAAUUUAAAACUUCUAGAAAUCAAAUUUUAUAAUUUUUCGAUAUCAUUUACCUUACGAUCAAAAGCUCACAAAAUUGACAAGUUUUAACGGCCGGUAUGGAAUAUUUGUUAGUUUAACGGUGUAAAAGAAUUAGAAUAGGUUGAAUUUUUGAUAGAAAAUUAUAUUCACUACCUAAAUAAAGAUCAAUAACUCCAAUCUUAAAUUAAAGGAUCCAAUCAUCUAUUUUUAGGACGUCGUUCGAUUUUGACCGUUCAUUUUAUGCCCGCUUGAUGGACUUUAUAAUGAUUUUAAAAAAUUAUGAAAUUUAUUUUUAGAAGUUUCAAAUACUCCAGAUCAUGUUUAACGAUGUGGAUCGUCGAUUCGAAAACCCCAACAUUGAAAACAACUUAUGAGUAUGAAAGGCUUUAUACUCAUAAGAGUAUAGUAGCCCUACUCUAUAUGGGUCCGGCUACUAUACUAUUAUGAGUACGAUUUCUCUCGUACUCAUAAAUCGUUUUCGAUGAUAGAGCUUCCGAAGCGACGAUCCAUACCGUUAAACGUUAUUUACAGCAUUUAAAACUUCUAGAAAUUAAAUUUUAUAAUUUUUCGAGAUCAUUUACCUUACGAUCAAGAGGUCACAAAUUUGACAAUUUUUAAUGGCCGGCAUAGGAUACUUGCUAGUUUAACGGUGUAAGAGAAUCGAAAUUGGCUGAAUUUUUGAUAGAAAAUUCUAUUCAUUACAUAGAUAACGAUCAAUAACUCCGAUCUUAAAUUGAAGGCUCUGAUCAUCUAUUUUUAAGACGUCAUUCGAUUUUGACCGUUCAUUUUAUAUCCGCUUGAUAAACUAUAUUAUGAUUUCGAAAAAUUACGAAAUUUAUUUUCUAAAAAUUUCAAAUACUCUAAAUCAUAUUUAACGGAGUGGAUCGUCGAUUCGGAAGCUCGAUCAUUGAAAACAACUUAUGAGUAUAAAUGGCUCUAUACUCAUAAGAGUAUAGUAGGCCUAGCCUAUAUAUAUAUAUAUAUAUAUAGAGAGAGAGAGAGAGAGAGAGAGAGAGAGAGAGUCCAGCUAUGGUUUCCAUCAAGUAUUGCCGACGGUCUCUAGUGCAAGUGGUAAAGUAUUUGCUGGUUGGUAUUCAAUAUCCCAAGUUCAAAGUUUAAUUACUCCACAUUUCCAACUGAAUUUAUUUCUAAAAAAAAAAAAAGAAAAAGAAAUACUAAGUAUUUGGUGCUUGUAAGUUUUUUCCUAUUAAAUCUAACCUUUAACCAUUUCUAAUAAAUAAAAAAAAUUGAUACGCCGUUAUUAACAUAUUUAGGAUAAAAAAGACUAAUUUUGAUUGUUAAAUAUGAAGUUUAGUGUUUAAUUUCCAACUAACUAACCAUACGGCAUUUUAAACUGCACGCAUUAACCAACCAAAAGCCUUCAUAUUUUAGACGGCAUAUUCAUUAGUUAUUUAGAGCAAUGCUAGCGCUACAACAACUUUUUAUAAAAAAAUUUUACAACACUUUACAAAUUAGCAUACAUGGCGGUGUAUAUUUAUUCGGUCGAAAAGCGUAAAUCAUGGGAAAUAAACAUGACUUAAGUUUUCAAGGUUGAAAUUCAAUCGUUAAGUUGUAUAAUUUGUGAAAUGUUGUAAGGUCUACUUGUAAGCAACUGAAGCUCAAAACGGAUUCUCUAAAUCUUUGUUAGGGGUUAGGAUUAAGGCCGUUGGAUAUAGGGUUGUACUUCUACAACCCAUUUUGAGUUACAAACUUAGCAUUUUUCUAUCAAUAAUUUAUAAAAUCAGCAUUCUAGCUAGAGUCUAUGGGCGUGUUUGGUUCGCUUCUUUUUCACCAUGGAAUCAGAAUCGGAAUGGAUGAAUCCGUUUGUGGGUGUUUGGUACGCGGGAGUUCCAUUCCGAUUUCGAUUCCCGAGUGGAAUGGGAAUGCCCCAAUCACCCCUUUUUUCAAUCCGGCCUAGGAGGCCGGAUUGUAAGUUGAAUCCGGACGGAAUGGAUAUUUAUUCGGAUUAAAUUUAUUUUUUCAACUUUUUAAAUUAAAAUAUAAGUUAAAUUUUAAAAAUUAAAUAUAUAAUUUUAAAUUUUAAUUUGAACUUAAAUUAAAAAUUAAAAUUUAAUCAAGUAUUUUAAAUCUAACUUAUGAAUUUGAAUUUAAAUUAAAUUUUAAUUUAUAUGAAGUUUAUUCAAAUUUUAUUUCAAACUUAAAUUAAAUUUAUGGAUUCAAAUUAAAAUUUAAAUUGUAAUUUUAAAUUUGAAUUUGAAUAAAUAAAAUUUUAGUUUCAUAUUUUGAAUUAUCCACUCAACUUCAAAGAUUAAUUUAUUUUAAAAAAAUAGAUUUAAAAAUUUGAUAUUAUUUAAAAAUUUUGAUGUAAAUUUUUAAUAUUUAAUAUUUAAUUUGAAUUUAAAUUAAUAUAUUAUAAAGAUAAUGUUCGUAUAUUAAAUUUGAUUACGGUUUUUUAUAUUCCACCUCGAACCAAACACCAACCAAUGGAAUGAUUUAUUCCGAUUUCCGCAUUCAGGUGAAUGCAAUCAAACGGAAAUUAGGUAAUGAGCCAUUCCGAUUUCGUGAUUCAGCUUAUUUUUGAUUCCGAUUGCCGAUUCUAACUCCGACUUCGAACCAAACACCACCCUUACAUAUAUAUAAUAAUUAGCGCUGGAAUUACUAAUUAAUAGCACAAAAAGAUCGGUGGCUAUUAGCUUUUCUGCCCUUAGAUUGUAAAGAUGUGCUGGUUAAGAUGGAUGUGGGGCCCCUAGGUGUUGAGUGCGGUGGUUAAUUGAAUAGUAUAAUCGACGGUUAAAGAUAUAAAAAAGGUUUAAAUCUAACGGCAGAAAACUUGGAUAGUUACAAUGCUUCGUGCCUAUCGGAUAAUACCUUCAGCACCGGAUCAUAUAUAUAUAGUAUUAUAUAUAUAUAUAUAUAUAUAUAGUAUAUAUAUAAUUAGAGCAAAGUGCUUACUCUGCAGGAGCCACGUGGAGCUGCUCCUGAGCCUGUUUUCAAUGAUGAGUUUCCGAAUCGACGAUCGGCUCGUUAAACUUGUUUAACGUUAUUUUGAGUUUUUCUAGAAAUAAUUUUUGUGAUUUUUCGAUAUCAUUUACCUUGAAGCAAUCGAAAUCAUUCAAAUUUAUAAUUUAAACAUGGCCUGAAAAUAAAAUUUCUAUAAAAAGUGGUAAUAUAGCAACUAAAAUUUUCUGAUCAGAAAUAUUUGAUUUUGUUGUAGCGAUGUAUAAGAAUUAUUUGUAUCAGCAAAUUUCAUCUGAAUUUUGAAUACUUCUUACACCAGGUAACUUGAAAACGGUAGAUAUCAACCAUUGAAAAAUUGAUGAUUUUUGAAUCCUUUCGAUCACUAUGGUAAUAAUGAUAUCAAAAAUCACAAAAAUUAUUUUUUCUUAGAACUUUCAACUGCACUAGAUCAAUCUAAUGGAGCAAUCGUCCGGAUUCGAAAAUUCCUAUCAUCGAAACGGCCUCAGGAUCCAGAGCGAUUCCGUGCCCUGAGAGCAUAGCCAGCACUGCUCUCUCUCUCUCUCUAUCUCUCUCUCUCUCUCUCUCUUCUUUAUAUAUAUAUAUAUAUACUUAAUAUAUAUAUAUGGGAAGGGUCAAAUUUUAUUCGUGGCCCCUAAACUUCAAAAAAUAUCAUAGAUGCCCCUAUAAAUUUGAUUAUAUCACAAUUACUCCUACAAAUACUUAUUAUUUUUCAAAUAUACCCUUACCCUUACCAUUCAUCUCUUUAUAGAAUGAUAAAAUAUUUAGAUUAUCAUAAUAUGGUCAAAAUAUCCAUUUUGCCCUUAACUUCUAAAAUUUUUUACAAAAGUAUUUUAGCAUGAUAUAUUUACUUUAAAAUAUUAAAAUAAACAGUAAAAUAUAUCAUUUUACUGUUGUGUGGUUUAUAAAAUAAGAUACUUUAUAUCAUUUAUUUUAAAAUUCGAGAUGCCAAAGCACAGAAAUUUGUGCUAAUUCAAAUAACUUAAUUCACAUCAUGCAUAUAUAUUUAAGUUAUAUUUUGAAUGAAUUGUUUAAUCUUAUUUUAAGGAGUCAAUUGAUACUUUAAGCAAUUUUUUGCUAAUUUUUUUUCAAUUGAUUUUUUAUUUUUUAGCUUAACUUGUCAGGAUUAUAUAUAUUUUUUUAAUUGACAAAAAACUUAUCUCUAAAUGUAGGUUAUUUAUAAAUUUAAAAGAGUGUUUAUAAAAGUAUAAAUGAUUUUAUUGUCAAUUAAAUAUUUUAAGAUGGUAAUGACAAUAAGGGCAAAGUUGGAAUUUUGUUUGUUGUUUAUUCAAAAUUGAUAAUAAAUUAGUGUAAAGGUUAUUUAUGAUAUUUCAAUUUUUAUAGGGGCAUUCAUGAUAUUAGACUUAUUUGGAAGGGUAGUGAUGAAAUUUUUCCUAUAUAUAUAUAUAUAUAUAGUCCCACUAUGGUAAGUUGAGAAGUAUCACUCAUGUGAUGCUUUUUUUAACUUUUGAAUCGACUUCUUUGAUUAUUUUCUAAUUAAUAUUAUUACCCUAUGGGGAUCACUCAACUCUAGGAGAUCACUAUUAUUUUAACUCUAAAACUCUUGAUCCAACGGUCAAAAAAAUUGGAAGCACUAACUCCUUUAUAUUUCUGAAAGCAUAAUAAUUCUACAACAUGCAUAUAUAUAUAUAUAGAGCUAGACUCAUAUGCCUUCGAAAGUACAGAGGCCUCCGUACUUAUAAAUUAUUUUUGAUGAUGCGAUAUUCGAUUUGGCGAUCGGUUCUAUUAGACAUGAUCUAUGCUAUUGAAACUAUUUAGAAAUCAAAUUUCAUAAUUUUUUGACUUUAUUUGCCUAGUGAACAAGUAGUCUAAAAAUAAAAGGUUGAAAAUAAAAAUUUCAUAAAAAAUAGUGAAAAAAGACUCAAAUUUCAAAUUAGAACUAUUGAUCUUGUUAUUGAUGUUAAAUAUAAUUUUUUAUUAAAGUUUCAUAUAAUUUAGAUUGUUCUACACCGUUAAACUUAAAAACGUGCCACAUAAACCGUUAAAAUAGUCAUUUUGCAAUCUUUUGAUCACUUACUAAAUAAUAUUUAAAAUAAAAAUCUCAUAAAAAACAGUGAUAAAAGACUCAAAUUUCAAAUUAAAAAUAUUGAUCUUGCUAUUGAUGUUAAAUAUAAUUUUUUAUUAAAGUUUCAUAUAAUUUAGAUUGUUCUACACCGUUAAACUUAAAAACGUGCCACAUAAACCGUUAAAAUAGUCAUUUUUUAGACAUUUUAAUCACCUUAGUAAAUGAUGUCAAAAAAUUAUGAAAUUUAAUUUCUACAUAGUUCCAACAGCGUAAAUUAUACUUAACAGAGCCGAUUGCCAAAUCGAAUAUUCUAUUAUCGAAAACAAUUUAUAAGGCUGGUAUAUGCAUGCAAAUGGGACGCUAUAUUUGUCUGAUUUUGUUGACUAAAAUCUUGUGUUUAAUUUCACUCCAAAAGGACAAGAAAAUUUGUAUGUUAGUUUAAUUCCUCUGAUUACAAUCAAUAGUAGAUAAACACCAAAAAAAAACAAUUAAAAGGUUACUGACAUUGAACAAGUAGAUAAUUAAGUAGUAUUCAUAUUGUAGAUUAAUCUUCAAAUAUACAAUAUUUUUACUGUAAUUAUCUGCUCUGUUAAUGUCACUAUCCUGAUAUUACCAACAAAAAUUAUGACAAACGCUCAAGCACGUGUGACACACUCACGCUCCAUGCACACACGCAGGGUUGCGAUGGCUCCGUCCUCAUCGACUCGACCGCGAACAACACCGCCGAGAAAGACGCCAUCCCCAACAACCCGAGCCUCCACGGCUUCGAGGUGAUCGACGCCGCCAAGUCGGUCGUCGAAGCCCAGUGCCCCGAAACCGUCUCCUGCGCCGACAUCCUCGCCUUUGCGGCCCGCGAUAGCAUCACCCUGACCGGCAACGUCACCUACCAGGUGCGACACAAGCAACAACUUAAGUCACUACAACAAAAACGGUAUAUAGCGACACUUUUAAAUGUCGGUAUAGAUCAAUAAAAGUGUUGCUGGCUAAAUUACCGACACUUUUAAAAAGUGUUGCUAUAUGUGGCGUCGCUAGGUUUAUAGUGACACUUUUUAAGAGUGUCGGUAUAACCUAAAAAGAGUGCUACUAAUAUACCGACACUUAUUUAAACUUUUAGCAGCACAUAAAAGUGAUGCAAAAUAAUAUUCUAGCAACACUUUUUUUAAUUUCAGCGACACUUUAUAACUGUCCCAUUUUCUUUAAAUAUUCAAAUUUUUCUUGAUGCAUCACACUUUAAAAUAUAAUACCACUCAAUGAUGAUUAUCAUUAAGCAUAUCUUUAAUUUUAUUCGCUUUGAUUUGCAUUAAAAAAGAAAGCAUAUAAAAGAAAUUUUAUAGUUACACAAAUUAAUACCAAAAUGUCUCGAAGUAUUAUCCAUAUAUCUUUAAACGAGUAUUUAGUCAGUAAAUCACAGUACCAAUAAUCUCUAGCUUUUCAACCCAAGAGAAGGAGAAAUAAAAACAAAAGCUAAUAAUAUCAUAUCAGAUCCGGUCGUAAUGAGCUCGGCAAUUAAGAUGUUGAACCUACAAAUUAAACAAUACUGAAGUUAAUAAAAGAUUAGUCAAACAAUCUUUUAACAUGAAAACCAAUUAAUAUAAAUUUAAUUUUACCUGAAGGGCAAUCCCGACUAAAGAAAAGAGAGAAGCUAUAUGAUGCACAAAUCAGGACCAUCAAAGCAAGUAUGAAACAAGUUCUAUUCUCUGUUUCGACUUUUUUUUCUGAUAAAAGAGAAAGUAGCAUGCACCUUUCACUACUGUGUUGAACAAACAAGGGCCUCUACCAACAGAAACAAUAUGAAUACUCUGUAAUACGGAACUAGAACCUUUGCUCAUAUAUUUUCAUUGAAUUCAAGUAAUUCAACUAAUCCAAUGAAAAGAAAAGGGAUGCUACAACGUCAAAAUACCAACAGAAACAAUAACUAGUAGUUGAAAAGAAAUACAGUAAACAACAACUGCACCUUACUCGAAACCCUAGCACCAGAUACCCCUAAAACUAUAUUUCAUUUUGCUUUUUCGGAUUGGAGCUAAAAGUUUAUCAUAUAUUAAAGCAUUUCCUUUGAGGAAGCAAAAAAGCCCGAAAGAUAAGACCCACUCAGUUAACAAUUGAAACACUUUAUUGCAUACAAUAAGUAAAUAAAUCAUGAAAAGAGAGAACCAUACAUUUCGACUGGUAAAAUUAGAAGUGAUGCCUUUACAUCAUAGAAAGAAGCAACUACUAUUGAUAAUGGAAAGAAGUACUAAAAGAGAAGGAACCAGAAGCAAUUAAGAAAAGCAUAGAAGAGAAUGAUUAUAACGCUAUCAAGUAAGAAAUAAUAAGGGAUUAGACAAAUGAGUAGCAUGUUGCAUAGCAAUAUUUUAUGGCGGUUUUAUAGCUAUAGAAUGUCAAAAAUCGGAGGCUUAAUAACUGUCCAUUCCUGGACAUUGAACUGAGAAAGAUUCUCGAAAAAGUUGUAACCAUCACUUGAAAAUCACAAUCGUAGUUCUAUAAAUAAGUUCCUAAAAUUGGACUAAUACCAAAUUACUCGAAGUACUCUUUUUUGUAGUUUAACAAAAACACUAGCAAAAUCUUGAGAUAGUACAAAGUUCAAAGCAGAAUCCAUGAAAAGCACUUCUAUCUGAAUUGUGCAGCAUAAUUUGCCCAAUUUUAAGAAAAUAUUAUGCGAUCCAUAACCAAACUGAAUUAUAAAUACUAACUAGGAAAAUGCUUUCAAAAUUGUCCACUCCAAAACUUGUCUUGUGAAUGAGCAGUGUUCAACGACCACCAAAAGAAAUAGUAGUGCUGGGCUCCUCCUAUAUUUGAACUAAACUCACCUUGGGAUCUGGUGUCUUAUAAGCAUAGACCGCAUUUUAAGCAUAGACCACAUUUUAAGCAUCACAUCUUUUAAGGUGUUGGAAACUAGAAGACCCACUCACCCACAGACAAGCAGAUGCAAGCUACAAUGUUGAUAUUGAACAGCUUAAAAGCAACAAAAUUAGGUAAAGAUGAACUCUGCAUUUUAAACACUAACAUCCAAUACACAACCAUGACAACUGAUUGCAAAGCAAACAAAGUAUACAGUAAACAAACAUCAUGAUCACUACAUUUAUUCUCGACAAAACAGAAAAGAGUGUACAAUUAUACUUCUCAACACAGUCUUAUUGCAGUUAUAUGAAGGCCAAAUGGACAGACCGCAACACCUGGUUGAGAGCGCUUAUGAAAUUCCAAGCAGCUUCUUGAUGUCUUUCUGCAAGUGGACACAAAAGCGUUUUUAACAGUCUUAUCACUCAGAAGUGAAGCUGAAAACAUUGCGGACUAAACUAAUUUUACCUCGAUGCUCAGUGGGGAGGUGGUUGGGGCAUAGCGGUCAACGACGUCCUUGUCCACCAAAAACUAUAGAUAAUAAGCAGAAUUUAGGCCUUGAAGAACAAAAUAUAAACACUAAUAACUCGUACACUUUGAGAAGAACCAAGUGUCCAACUAAAAUCUUUUACAAGUUCACUUCCAACGGACUAAACAAGGAAACCUACUCUGCUAAAUGUGUCCUGUUAACUUCAUCUGUAUAUUCAAGUUUGUGCGCUAGCGCAAUUAGUGUGAGUCCUACACAGCUGAUGCGACCACUUUUAGCAAUCCAAUCACACAAAAUUGUGAUACUCCUAACAAGGAAAACCUGAACUGUGUUUUAUCUUUGUUACUUUUAUUGGGGACCUUUUUUUCUCUCUUUUUUUCCAUUUUAGAACAUUCAAUGCUUCCAUUAUUAAUUGGCUGUAAAUAACAAGCUUAAAGUAGCUUAGUUUAGCUUUUUUAUAUUAUUUUAAUUUGAAGGUUACUCUGUUUUGCUUAUUCAUAUUGUAUGGAAGUGAACUUUUCUCAUACUUUUGCUGUUUUUUCUUUGUUUUGUUGAACUGUUUCUUAAUUUAUUACUCUCCUCCAAUGUCUCAAGGUGCCAUCUCUUUAUUUCCAGUGUAGAAAAUCAUUGCUUUUUAUUCCUGAUGGGCUGCGAAGUAAUAAAAAUAGGAAAUGGGUGUCAUAAAUCAGAACCCAAAAGUGGCUAAGUUGUACUUUGCCAGAGAAAUGGUUCUUUAUAUAUGCAUUGUAAAAGUAUAGUUUAACCUUGCUUCUUAUUAUUACUCUUAACUUAACUUGGGGUUACCAACUAUUCUUUUAAUAUAUCGUCUCAUACCAUUAUUAAUUUUCAUGUUGUUUCUUUAUUUUCCGGAACUAGAGUGUUAAUUUUUGCCUAUCUAUAUUCCUUUUGUUCGGUUCUAUCAGAUGAAGCUAAACUCUUCAAGGUAAGGAUUAAUAUGAAGUCUAGAUGUGUUUCAAAUUAUUAACAAAAAAAUAUGAUAAGGUUUUUCUCUUUUGUUUGGUGAAAUAUCAAUAGGCCUUAAAGAAGAUAUUUGGUUGACAAGUAUGUCUAUGUAAUCAACUACAACAACACCAGCAAAAAAAUAUUACAACCAAAAUUUUCUGAGAAUUAAUAGAAUCAAUUGAAAAGGAAAGCUUGCAACACACAAACUACACAAGUAACAUUACUAGCUAAAACAAAGGAAGAUCUGAAGCAAGACGAACAUAAUCUGAAAGGUAUGAGCUUCUAUUGUAAUAAGAUUUAGUAAUUUUAGGAAAGGAAACCAGGUCAUUGUCUAUCAUCUACAAGAAACGUCAAAACAUUCUUACUACUAAAAAAAUUCAUUGAUCAGUUAAGUUACAGCACAUCAAGCUUGCUUUCUAAGAUCAUGCUUGGAAAAAUCUGUUAGGAAUGAUGCUUGACUGUUAGGAAUGAUGCUUGGAAAAAUCUACAAACAGGAGACAUCAGAACGCAGUGAUCGUCGCAUAGGAUCAGUAACAUAGGAUUGCUAAUACCACAGGAUCAUCAGAAUACAGUGAUCGUAAAACAGAACACCACAUUGUAGUUAUCAGGGCAUGCUUCUAUGCAAUCUAAUGCAGAAAACAUCAUAAGAUGUCAAAAGAAAAGGUGGUGAUUAAAAAACAGAACAUGGCAUUGUAGUUAGCACUUAGCAGGGGCAUGCUUCUGCAUCAUGAAAUCUAGAAAACUUGUACUUUCAAAUUUCCACACAACCAAAACAUGUACUUCUAUGCGAUUAACAAGGGCUUUUACAGCAAAGAUCCAAGGUACGAUCCAAAAUACAUACCAUAUAUAAAUGGGAUAUAUAUAGGAUAAUCGAUCGAUCGAGCUCACCUUCUUCUCCGUCUACCCCUUCGACGCCUUCGACGCCGCCGCGAGCACCACCAGAUCGCCGGACUCCUGCUUCCCCACCACCGUCGUUGCCUCGACGUUUGGCGCUUACUCCUCCGGCGACGGUCCCCGCGAGAUCCUCGAAACCGAACUCCGGCCGCCGGAGCCCUAGCUUAUCGGUUGCGGCGACGGAGGAGCGGGAGGAGGAGAGCGAGGGGGUUUGAGUGAGGGGAGAAGAGGGUACGACCUAGGAGAAGACGAUUCGUUCGGAUGUGGAGGAGGAGGAGGAGGAGGAGGGGAACGAGGGGAGCGAAGGGGAGGAGGAGGAGAACGAGGGGAGCGAAGGGAGCGAUCAGAUUUGGUUUUUUUUUUUUUUUUUUUUUUGGUAUUUGGGCUUCUACUUGGGCCUUGCUAGGUUUUUUUAAUAAUUUAGGAGUUUUUGAAUCUUAUAAAUUUUGUUUGGAUAAUUGAGCUUUAUCUUUGGGCUUUACUAGUUUUAUUUUUUAAAAUAAAAAUUAUACAUAAAUUGGGACACUUAUACAAAAGUGUCCCAAAAAUGUGUCGCUACAACCCAAUUCUCUUGUAGUGAGUUGACAGAGAACGAUAUACGUCCGAUCAUUUGUUUACACUCGACGUGCGUUCCAGGUCCCUGCGGGACGCCGCGACGGCACCGUCUCGAACGCGUCGGAGGUCAUUCCAAACAUCCCAGCGCCGACCUUCAACUCGACGCAGCUGAUAAACAGUUUCCAGGCGAAAAACCUGACAGCAGAGGAGAUGGUGAUUCUCUCCGGCGCCCACACUGUUGGUGUGUCCCACUGCUCCUCUUUCCUCAACAGGAUCUACAACUUCAGCAACACCAGCCAGGUACGUAUAUAGUGCACACGGCUAUACCUGCAACUACUUAUAUUCUCCCAAUUCGUGGUUACCUCACUACAACAGAAUUAGGUUAUAGGAACACAUGUUUGGGACACUUUUGAGUAAGUGUCCCAUUUAUGCUAAAACUUAAAAAAACAUCUGCUAAUGCCUAAAUAUAAAGCCCAAUCCAACCAAAAAUAAAAGAUUACUCUACUCAACCCACCACACCCAGUCUAUUUGGCCCGAUUACAAACAGCAAAGAAAAAAAAAAGAAAAAUUAAUUGCCAUCUUUUCUUCUUUCUUCACUCAAUCCACUAAAAUUCUAGACGAAGAGCCUUUCCUGUCAUCCUUCUCCGCCACCGCAGCCAACGAGAUAGAGUUUCAGCGGUUGCUAAAUGCUUAAAUAAGUGCUGGUAAAUUAGCAGCACUUUUUUAGGUUACAGCGACACUCUUUAACUGCCACUAUAUACCUAGCGACCCCACAUAUAGCAACACUUUUUAAAAGUGUCGGUAAUUUUAGCUAGCAGCACUUUUUUGACAUGUACCUAUAUUUAAAUGUGUCGCUAUAGACCGUUUUUGUUGUAGUGCCUUCGCUAGUAUAUAUAUUUACGCCGACAAAAAAAAAAAAAGAGAAGAAGAAAAAGUAGGAGACUAAUCGAAUUGUGCGUCAAAUGAUGCGAAAGUACUGUUGUUCUUUAAAAACUAAAGCUACUGACCAAUAAUGUUUUUAAUGUUUGUGUUCAGUAUUAGCUCUUCCUCGCAUCUGAUUAAUUUCGAGAAACGUAAACUUCGAUUAAAUGAGGUGAUAUUGAUAAUAUCUACUCUGGCACCAUGUUAAAUAAGAUGAAACAAUUGUUAUUCUGAGAUGCUUUCAAUAAUUACAAUUAAUAUUGCAAGUAACCACCUGAAAUGUUUUUUUUUUUUAAAUUAAAUUUCAUGUUUUCUUAGAAGAAGAAAGAAUAUAUAAUUCGUGCCGCUAAGUGUGCAACAUUUUUGUUUUUGUUUUUUUUGGGAGAGAAAAGGUAUAUAUAUAGCUAGCUACUUUGUUCAUUCAUUAGAGAAAUGAAUUAAGUGUAUGUAUGUGUACGUGCGUGCAGGUGGACCCGACGAUGAGCCCGGCAUAUGCGAAGCUGCUGCAGGCGCUGUGCCCGUCGAACAGCACGCGGUUCACGCCCAUCACGACGGGGCUGGACGUGAUCAGCCCCGGCGUGCUGGACAACAAGUACUACGUCGGCCUGACGAACUCGCUGAGCCUGCUCACGUCCGACCACGCCCUCCUCACGGACGCCAACCUCAGCGCGGCGGUCAGCCGGUUCGCGACCCACCAGUCGGCGUGGGAGUCGAAAUUCACCAAGGCCAUGGUCAGGAUGGGCGAGAUUCAGGUCCUGACCGGGACCGAGGGACAGAUCAGGCUCAACUGCAGAGUUGUGAACAAUGCCUCCACUACUGCAGCAGCAGCAGCAGCAACUGGGUUUGGGUCUGUGGUGGGCUCUAGCCACUAUACUGCUGGAGGGGUGGCCACUAUCUAGUCUAAGUUAUGAUUGCAUGAAUAAAUUUUAAAAAAAAUUACAUAUAUAAAUAAAUGUAAGUGUGUAGAGAGAGAGAGAGAGAGAGAGAGAGAGAGAGAGAGAGUGUAAUUUGUGGUGUGAGAACUUAUUUUAUAUCUGCAAGCAUGAUAUUGGAGUUUAAUUUGGCUAAUUGCAGGGGUAUUAAUAUUAAGUAAUAUUAAUAUUAAUAUUAAGAUAGAAAUAAACUGGCGAGACACGUAAAUAUUUUGUUAAUGCGCUUUUCACUUAAACUGGAACUCAUUGACCCGACAGAUCGAGCAUGCUUUGGUAAUGUUUAAAUUUUUUUUUUUUUUUUUUUUUUUUUUAUUUAUGUAUGAUGGUUAAUUCAGUAGGACGGAUAACCUUAGAUUAACCUAGUUAACUUUCUCAUCGGUAUGGGUUACUCCGUGCAUCAGUACUGGUUAUUUUGAAACGCUGGCAAGAGUAUCAUCGAAAUGAGAGAAACUCAUAUUUUUCUAAGAAAAUAAUUUCUCUGUACGGUACCUACGGUCCCUAGCGCAAAAUGGUAAAAGACUUGAUGGUUGGUAUCUGCCACUUUCUCUCUUAAAAAAAAAAAAAAAUCCCCCAAUAAUAAACAAUGCCUGGACUUGGUCUAUCAUGUUAUCUCUAGACCAUAGCUAGGAGUGUAAUCUGGGCUGUGCCGCGCCGGCACAACGCAGAUUUUUUCGGCCAAAUCGUCCGGCGCGGAUUUGAAAUCGGACUGAGCCGGGCCUUGCUGGGCCAUGGACCCCUUAUUUAUUUAUUUAUAUUUAAAAAAUCAAAAUUGAUUAUAUUUUAAAUUAAUAUUUGAAAGAAUAAAAAAAGAAACGGGCCGGGCCAGGCCGGGCGGGUCGAUGGGCCAUCCGGCCCGUUUAACACCCCUUAACCAUAGUGAUAUAUCUCUAUAAAUUUUGUUUAUUUAGUAUUUAUAAAAAAUUUUAAACUAUUAAUAAUUUUAUUUAUUAAUAAACGUGACAGAGAGAUUGAAAGUAAAGAUGGAAUGGACGGAAAUUAGAUUGAGGUGUCUGCAGAAAAGUCUAGACAAAUUAUUUUACUCUGGAGGCAUGCAGUAAACAUGCGUGGAAAACCCCCUAAACUAUACACCAUUUUGAAAUAGAUGCAACUUAAUUUAAUUUUAUGUUAACACUUCUUAAUUUUAUAAUAUUUUUUUAUUAAAAAAUUAUUUUAGUAAGAUUGAUUAAAAGUUAUGUAAAAUUUAAUACGUUUCUUAACUAUUCGAAUUCAACUAAUAUAACUAUAAAUUUAUUAAAAUAUCUGUGGUUUUUUUUAUUAAAAUUGCUUAAAUUUUUUUGAAAAAAUUAAAAUUAAGGCCCAGUUUGGUUCAGGGAUAAAACAGGGAUAACGAAAACUUUAUCCCCGCUAUUCCGCCAAACGGGAUGAUUUUGGGCUGGGAUAUUUUAUCCCGGUCAAAUGUUGCUAUUCUCGGCUAUCGUGGAAUAGCUUGGGAUUUAUUAUUCUACCAUUUGGCAGAAUAAUGCUAUUCCAAGGUUUAAUUUCAAAUUUUAUUAAAAUUAUAAAUUAAAUUAAAACUAAUUAUACAGACAUAAUAUGUUAUAUAUUAUAAUAUAUUAUUUUUAUUAUAAAAUUAUUAAUUGUACUACUUAAUUUAUUACUCUAAUAAAUAUUUAAUUAGCUAUUUGAGUAAUUAAUUUAUUAUUUUAAUUAAUUUGCUAAUUAAAUAAUUAUUUAUUUAUUAGUGUACUUAUUCAAUAACCAAUAUUGAUAUUGAUUAAUAAAUUAAUAUUUUGACUAAUUUAAUUAUCUAACUGUUAUUAACUAAUUUUUUUAUUAAUUUAUUAAUUUACUAAAUUACUUGCCAUUAAUUAAAUUAAUAAUUACUAAUUAAUUUAUUAAUUAAUAUUUAGGGUUAUUUAGGGUUAAUUAGUAAAUUAAGUAAGUUGAAUUAUUAUUUAAUUAAUAUUUUAUAUUAAUUAAUUUGAUAAAAUAUUAUUAUAUUAAAAGUAUAAUUAUUCUUAUCCUUACUAUUCCAAUCUAGCCAUCGAAAUACUAUUUUACUUAUUCCCGAGAAAAACUCAAUUUUUAUCCAAACGCAAAAUUAAUUUUAUUCACGUUUAUUUCAAGAGUUGUACUUAUCACAUGGAUAGUCUAAAAUAGUCUAUUCUUGAACCAAACGAUACCUAAGAGAGUAUGCGUGCAAAAGAGGAAAUGGUGAGGGGGUGAUUUCAAAAUGAUCCAUAAUCAAGGGGUCUCCAUACAUUUUUAUUGGUGAAUAAUAGAAAGGUAAAACCAUACAGAACUUACUUGAACUAUGAACCAUUUUAACUAAACUAUCCCAAUCUUUAAAAAUUUUAAUUUAUUUCAUUUGAGUUAGUCAACAGUACCUUAACUAUAAAAAUAAUUAAGCUCAUUACUUAUUUUAAUGAUUUUAUAGUUGCCAAAAUUGCAUAAAAUAUGCUAACUAAAUCUUUAAAAGAUAAAUGGCGCAUUAAAAUUUUGAAGUUAAAGUUCUAUUGUGACUCAAAUGAAACAAAUUAAUCUUUAAUUCAAGUACAGAAGCAAAUGCCAUACAUAGUAAGUUAAUUCAGAUUUAGCAAAAAUUCGGUACAUGUACAAUACGAAUAAAAUUUGUAUCGCAAUUUUUAAAUUCGUGGAAAAAUAUGGCUUAAAAUAAGUGUUCGCCAAUUAUUCAGGUAUGCGAUUUAUGUGGAAAUUAUAUGUUCACCGAUUAAAAUUUCGGGAUCAAAAAUUCGGUUAUUAAAUUAAACAUUUUUCUCUAGAUUUUUACUACUAGGAUAAAUAUAUAGUUAUAACUCUUAAGAAUAAAAAAAAUAGAGAGACACAAAAUAAAGUAGAUUAAGUAAAAAAAAUAAUAGCAAAGUUUAUUGUCGUCUCAAUUUUCAUCUUUUUUAUGAUCACAUAUUCUGAAAAUUCAUGAAAGUUUUCAAUAAUUCGUCAAUAAUUUGCAAAUAAUUAGGCAAUAAUUCCUGAAUUAUAGAGAAAGGGAUUUUAUCCAAAAAUUUCUAUGUGCUUUUUUGGCCGAAUAAUUCGGCAUACGCGAAUUAUUCACGAAUAAUAAAUAUAACUUAAAAAUUCAUAAUUUAUUCCGAUUUUUUGAGAAAAAAAUUACAUAUGAAUUGUUUUAUUCGAAUUUUUAAUAAUUUGCGAAUAAUUCGGUAGUAAUUCGCAAAUUAACUAACUAUGAUGUCAUAUACAUGUGUAUAUGGAUUACUUGAUGUGAUAAGUACGUAAAUAAUUAAAUGAGAGAUAGGUACUCAUACUCUUUGAUCAAGCUAUAAGAGUUAACCUGAAAAUACAUUAACUCACGUAUUAACCUUGCUACGCUAAAGCUCAAACCAAGCACACACUUGAUUGAACAUUUUUCUUGCGGUGUGUAUUAGCCUUUCCAAUAAUCUCUUAACACACAUAUGUUUGUUUACCUUCUUCUACUUAGAUCUUUGUUUAAAGAAGCGCGCUGCGUAACUUACCAAUUAAAAAUAUUUAUAUUGAUUCUUUGAAAUACAAGACAAAUUAAAAAAUCAUAGUGUGCGUAGAAAAAACUGUCACGUGACACUGCACAACGUUGGGAAAAACUUUGAGUUUUUCACCAACACACAAAUCGUACUGUGUGCAUAUUUCGAAGAUAUUAGGUCAGACACAUAGAUGCUAUAAUUUAACGUGGUAUCAGAAUAGAACGUUUUGAGUUCGAGUCAUGUUAGGUUCCUCGGGUUAUUCAAUUUUCUCCCACCUAAUUAAGCCUCCGUCUUGGAUGUGUUAAAAAUCUCCGGUCCUCACAUGAAUAACUUUACAUUAUUUCAUAUAAACAUAUAUAUAUAUAUAUAUAUAUAUAUAUAUAUAUAUAUAUAUAUAUAUAGAGAGAGAGAGAGAGAGAGAGAGAGAGAGAGAGAGAGAGAGAGACCACCUACUAUAUAUUGCAUGCACUCAACUGAUAGCUAGGAAUCACUAGCAUAUAUUCACAUGCAUGUCACACAAAUACAAAUACAUAACUUGCAUAAAACGGGACUAACUAAUAACAUUAACAGUGAUAGUUAAACAUGAAAGCUAGACAUUGACUAUGUCUAGCUAAAACACCCUAACAAAGUCAACCUACAAACAUCUAAAUAAAAGAGCAAUAAAUUGCCUAUAUACUCUUCCCCAGCUUUUGAGGGGUAUAUUUGAAACGGGUAAAUAUGAAACUCAGAAACUCUUCAGAAGUACAUAGGCAAUAUAUAUAUAUUAUACCUAGCUAUAAUAUAAGCUUAGCUCACAAGUAACACCCUAAGUUAUAUUUCAUGGUUUCUUAACACCGCUUUUUUUUGCUUCCCCAGCAGGGAUCACAGGUAAAAAUCCGAUGCCCGGGAACCGUGGAAACGGGAGGAGGCCGACCAUUCCGCCGAAGCCGAAGAAGUUCUGCGGGUGGUAGGAACUGUUGUUGUUGCUGUUGUUGGGUUUGGUUUGGGCUAGGGUUCUUGCUUCAACAAGAGGAACAACAAUGGAAGUGAGGAGGAGAGAAAGGAUUAGGCACAUCUUAGUGAACUUGUCCAUGUUUGUUGCUACAAACUUAUGGAAGGGGUGCACACUACUAUGGUUUUUUCUUUUUCUUUUUCUUUUUCUUUUUCUUUUUUGAUUGCAUGGGUGGUGAGGUUUUGGUGCAUCUACUAUGGAUAUUUAUAGUUGGAGGAAGAGGUGGCUAGCUAGUUGGUUGGUCUCUUUAAGAGAAACCAUUUAAUUAUUUCCCCUCACCACAUUGGAGGUGUAGUAAAAGCAUUUAAUAAGUGCCUAGCUUGGUAAUAGCCGGACAACUUCUCUACUUCGGAAGUAGACGUUAAGAUGUUUACGAGUUAUUAGUUUCUAAAAGCAGAACAACUUCUCUAUUUCGGAAGCAGACGUUAAGAUAUUUGCGAGUUAUUAGUUUGUAAAAACAGAAGCUCUAGUUUUAGAUGAUCAUACUUUUAGGUGCAACAAAAAGUUCUUUUUUUUUAUUUUUUGAGAGAAAGAGAGAAAGAUAGAAUACUAUUUGUUUCGUUUCUUUUUUAACAAAAUGAUCUUAACUGCAAAUAUAAAGAAGUUAGGCUUCAAAUUCGGGACCUCGGAUAUCAACCAUCAAAUUCUUUUAUUACUUGCGCUAAGGACAGUCAUUAGGCGGUUUUACUGAAAUGAUGAUGAUAUUCGAAACCUUGGAUAUCAACCAUCAAAUUCUUUUAUCACUUACGCUAAGAACAGUCAGUAGACAGUUUUAUUGGAAUG
rnacentral:lncRNA from 1 species